AUGCUGUCCUCGACGCUUGCCUCGAACAGGACCCAGACAGCAAGGUUGCCUGCGAAACAUGCACCAAAACCAACUUGGUCAUGGUCUUCGGAGAAAUCACGACCAAGGCCAAUGUUGACUACGAGAAGAUAGUGCGUGACACCUGCAGGAACAUCGGCUUUGUCUCAAACGAUGUGGGACUGGAUGCCGACAACUGCAAGGUCCUCGUCAACAUUGAGCAGCAGAGCCCUGAUAUUGCUCAGGGUGUACACGGCCACCUCACCAAAAAACCUGAAGAAAUUGGUGCUGGUGACCAGGGUCACAUGUUUGGCUAUGCCACUGAUGAAACCCCUGAAUUGAUGCCAUUGAGCCAUGUUCUUGCAACAAAACUCGGUGCUCGUCUCACCGAGGUUCGCAAGAACGGUACCUGCCCUUGGCUGAGGCCUGAUGGGAAGACCCAAGUGACCGUUGAGUAUUACAAUGACAAUGGUGCCAGGGUUCCGGUUCGUGUCCACACCGUGCUAAUCUCCACCCAACACGACGAGACUGUCACCAAUGACGAAAUUGCUGCUGACCUCAAAGAGCAUGUGAUCAAGCCUGUGAUCCCAGAGAAGUACCUUGAUGAGAAGACCAUUUUCCACUUGAACCCUUCAGGCCGUUUUGUCAUUGGUGGCCCUCAUGGCGAUGCUGGUCUCACCGGCCGCAAGAUCAUUAUCGAUACUUAUGGAGGAUGGGGUGCUCAUGGUGGUGGUGCUUUCUCCGGCAAGGACCCUACCAAGGUUGAUAGGAGUGGUGCUUACAUUGUGAGACAGGCUGCUAAGAGCAUUGUGGCAAGUGGACUUGCCAGAAGGUGCAUUGUGCAAGUGUCUUAUGCCAUUGGUGUGCCUGAGCCUUUGUCUGUGUUUGUUGACACCUAUGGCACUGGAAAGAUCCCUGACAAGGAGAUCCUUAACAUUGUGAAGGAGAACUUUGAUUUCAGGCCUGGUAUGAUCUCCAUCAACCUUGAUCUCAAGAGGGGUGGAAAUAACAGGUUUUUGAAGACUGCUGCAUAUGGACACUUUGGAAGAGAGGACCCUGACUUCACAUGGGAAGUGAUCAAGCCACUCAAGUGGGAGGAGGCCUAAGGCCAUUCAUUCCUCACCGCUGUGUGCUGGGAGUUUUUUGAGCUUUGCCCUUAUCAUAUCUAUAAUUUGUUUCAUUUAUUUUACUUAAUUCGUGUGUGCUUCUCACUUUCUCUUCCUCCUCUCCAUUCUAUUUUGUUUCUUCUAUCCUCAUAUGUAAUUUUUUUACAUGAUCAAUUAAACGUGAUACAAAAUUAUUCUUAAUUAGCACGUGUCCUUGUUUCUAGUCCCUUUACUUUUGAAUGUCUAUGUCUACACAUACAUAUAGGACGUUUUACUUUUAUAUGUGUGUCAGCUUGGUUGGAAUUCUGUGGUAUCCGUUUAUCAGUUAGUUCAGGUGCACACAAAUGCGACAAUUAGUUGGUAAAACUGCAAGAGAUUUUGCAAAUAUCAUACAAAUAAUAACAAUAAAUAGUUUGUCGUUUUCAUGCUGCUGGUUUGAUCUUCGCAGUUCACACUGAUCAAACUAAACAACGGUGUUUGGUAAUAUUCAACCUUCUCUCUUUCAAACCUUACUACUAACCUCGUGCGUUGGGUAACAUUAGGCUUCCAACUUAUCUGUUUUCUUUGCCAUAACUUGUUGCCAAAGAGUGUUUGUUCAUAAUAAGUGUUGGAGAUAUAAGAGUGUUGGAAAAGUUUAUUUGCCAUAACUUGUUGCCAUAAAGAGUUGAAGUAACCUCUUGAUAGGAAAAUGGCUCAAGACAAGCUGUGAAUAGAAGUCAGAAAACAAGCAAAUGAAGUAGAGUAAGUGGAAUAAACAAAGUCCAAUAGUUUAGUGAACUUAUAAUCAUGUUGAGAAUGAGAAGGAUCCACCCUCACAAAAAAGGUUAUUGCCUAAUUAAUAGUAGGGAUUGAAGAAGUAUCAAUAAUCAAUAAGAGGGACAUUUGGAUUGACACAAACUAUUAGUAUAAAAAAAAAAUGUAAAACUAAAUGGACAACAAUCUAAGAAAGCGAGUAUGUGUUGUACUCGGAAAACAUAACAUAAUGUGAUUUUGAUUGUGGAAACUGAAAACAAUAACAUUUAAGUUUUAUUUAUCUCUUUGCCUAACAAUUUUUUUAAUUACUUUUUUUAUAGUUUUUAUGAUGAAGAUAAUUAAUAUUUUUUACAAAUAUUAUAUUUUCCUUUUUACCAUCUUUGAAGAUAAUUGCUUUUUUUUCCAAUUUAGACAAAUAUUUGAGUAUCAAUGAUAUUCCUUUUUAAUCCAUUAUUGCAAUUUAAAAGACCAUCAAUGAUUACAUUUUCAAUCAAAUGACUUUAUUAGUCUUCACUUUACAUCGAUUUAAAUCAAACUAAUAAUUUUGUAUGGACUAAAUCUCUGAACAUUUUUAUAUUUACAACAUAUUUUAACAUUUAUUAAAUAAUUAGUAUUUAAUACUAUUAGUAGAAUAAUGGGAGUAGCAGGAGGGAGGCACUGAGAGAAUAGAGAUGGCAUGGAAGUAAGCAAUCAAGUCAAAAUCAGAGUUGGCCAACCCCAAAGGCUGUAGUAGGUAAGCAUGGCCCAUUUUAGUUUUUACAUUCAUCUCUCAUUUUCACCUCAACGGUUCAGAUUCAAUCUGACUCCCCGAUCUCAGCCGUGGAUUCAAAUGCCACCUCAGGCACAUGCAAUUCCAAAUGGAUGAACCUAACCCACAAUCUAAUCUUGUUACUUAGGGGCUUUUCCGUCAUUAAAUGACACCACCUACCCCCUUCUCCCUAUAAAUGGCAACUCAAUGCCCCCCUUAGAACUCGCAGCGCUUGAUUUGAGGCCAGGCAAGCCCCACUCAACCACCACACCUCUCCUCGUUCACGCUACCCCUUUCUGCUCUUCUUCUACCUUUCAAGGUACUCUUCUUUCCCUCUGUUGCUGCAACCUUCUCUUUCUUUAAGAUUGCCUCAAUUUCGGAUCUUGCACCUCUGGGUUGCUUUGCUUUGCUUUUUCCUCUACUGGGUUGAUUUCUGUUUCCCUAAACCGGUUUAGACGAAUGUGAACACUACUUCUUUUGUUUAAUUACUCUGGAAUACGUGUUAGGCUUUCAGAUCUAGUUGAAAUCGUAUUGCACUUUUAGGGGGAGUUUGGAUUUCUAAUAAGAAAUUGACCUUUUGCUGAGAAUUGGUUCGGUGAUUAGAGGGUUUCCGUAAAUUUUUGAAGUUUUACAUGCUUGUAUCUGUUUAUUUUUGUUUCUCACAUCUAUUAUUGUUAGGUGAAGGAAAUUAUGUAUUGAGAGUCUGUCUGAUACUAAAUAUAAACACCUCAAUAGGGGCUCUAACACUGAUUUUAUCAUUUGCUGCUUGUGUGUAUGGUUAAAGAAAGGCAAUUGUGUUUUAAUUUUCUGCAAGCUUUCGUUUGCUGAAUUUUAUGCAUAUAUUUUCCUCCCUUUUGUGAACUUCCUUUUUGUAGUUCUAAUUCCAUUUUUGGUGUCUGCAGUUUUAAAAGUAUAAAGAUGGCAGAGACAUUCCUAUUUACCUCAGAGUCGGUGAACGAGGGACACCCUGACAAGCUCUGCGACCAAAUCUCCGAUGCUGUCCUCGACGCUUGCCUCGAGCAGGACCCAGACAGCAAAGUUGCCUGCGAAACAUGCACCAAAACCAACUUGGUCAUGGUCUUCGGAGAAAUCACGACCAAGGCCAACGUUGACUACGAGAAGAUAGUGCGUGACACCUGCAGGAACAUCGGCUUCGUCUCAAAUGAUGUGGGACUGGAUGCCGACAACUGCAAGGUCCUCGUCAACAUUGAGCAGCAGAGCCCUGAUAUUGCUCAGGGUGUACACGGCCACCUUACCAAAAAACCUGAAGAAAUUGGUGCUGGUGACCAGGGUCACAUGUUUGGCUAUGCCACUGAUGAAACCCCUGAAUUGAUGCCAUUGAGCCAUGUUCUUGCAACAAAACUCGGUGCUCGUCUCACCGAGGUUCGCAAGAACGGUACCUGCCCUUGGCUGAGGCCUGAUGGGAAGACCCAAGUGACCGUUGAGUAUUACAAUGACAAUGGUGCCAGGGUUCCUAUUCGUGUACACACCGUGCUAAUCUCCACCCAACACGACGAGACUGUCACCAAUGACGAAAUUGCUGCUGACCUCAAAGAGCAUGUGAUCAAGCCUGUGAUCCCAGAGAAGUACCUUGAUGAGAAGACCAUUUUCCACUUGAACCCUUCAGGCCGUUUUGUCAUUGGUGGCCCUCAUGGCGAUGCUGGUCUCACCGGCCGCAAGAUCAUUAUCGAUACUUAUGGAGGAUGGGGUGCUCAUGGUGGUGGUGCUUUCUCCGGGAAGGACCCUACCAAGGUUGAUAGGAGUGGUGCUUACAUUGUGAGACAGGCUGCUAAGAGCAUUGUGGCAAGUGGACUUGCCAGAAGGUGCAUUGUGCAAGUGUCUUAUGCCAUUGGUGUGCCUGAGCCUUUGUCUGUGUUUGUUGACACCUAUGGCACUGGGAAGAUCCAUGAUAAGGAGAUUCUCAACAUUGUGAAGGAAAACUUUGAUUUCAGGCCUGGUAUGAUCUCCAUCAACCUUGAUCUCAAGAGGGGUGGAAAUAACAGGUUUUUGAAGACUGCUGCCUAUGGACACUUUGGAAGAGAAGACCCUGACUUCACAUGGGAAGUGGUCAAACCCCUCAAGUGGGAGAAGGCCUAAGUAAUUCAUUCCACUGCUCUAUGCUGGAAGUUUUUUGAGCGUUGCCCUUAUAAUAUGUCUAAUAUCCAUAACUUUCCACGUCUCUUACUCUGUGUGUUUCUCUCCUCUUCCUCCUAUUUUGUUAUUUGUAUGUUCUUUUGUAAUUUUUUACGUGAUCAACUAAAAACAUGUACUCUCUGUUUGUAUGUAUGCCCUACCAAUGUGUCUCUUAAUAUCAAUAUCAAAAAGAGAGUGUUCAAGUUAAUGUUUGGAUUCCAAUGCUUCUCUCGAUGAAGUUCGAGCUGCAAAUUUGGUCAUAUGAUAAAUGCUAGGCAAGUGUGUUGUUGUAUACAUAAAAACUGCUAAAACUAAGGUGUUAAAUAUUACUGGUCAUGUAAGAUAUUGUUUUCUAAGUUUAUAGUUAGUAGUAAAUAAUAGUUACACUAUUAAACAAAGUAAAACCUUUCAAAAAAAGAAAACAAAGUAAAUCAUAUUUUAUGUCACGUCCUCCAGAAACAAAGCUACUGGCAUCUUUUACUUGCUAAUUAUUGUAGUAUCUUGUUAUGUUGCUUUUUGUUUACCUUCCCGUCUUCAUCACCAUUGGUAUUGAGAAAACAAGUUUGAACAAUGUGCACAUUUCGAGAACAAGGACAACUUGAUUAAGUGCUGUGUCAAAGUUCAGUGAGUAAUAAUUGAUUAUUUCUCAUUUAAUUUUAUGAUUUAUUUUUUGUCCAAAAAAUAGGAAGUCUUCUCUAACAUUUGUUAAUCUAUUGAUUGGUACACCAUCGUGCUGCUAUGGCCCCUAUAUAUCUUACUUUUUCUUUUUCUUUUUUUUUUUUCCGUUUACAGAAAAACUUAUUGAAACAAAACCAUAAUACUAGUCUUUAGGAUUUGGCUAGGGAGGAAUAGAAUAUUGAAAAAAUGGUAAGCAACAAGACUAUAAAAUAUAUAUUUUCAAAUGAGCAAUAAAAUAUAUAAAUAUAUGAAAUUAAUUCUAAACUUAAAUCAAAAAAUAAUUAUUUAUAAUUAAAAUUUUAACAUUUACUUUCCUAAUAAAUUCAUCAUUUAUGAGCCUUUUAAUUACUACAGUAUGUUAGAUAGUAUCAAACACUAUUAUUCGAACCAAAAAACACUAUUAUUGUACAAAUAAAUAAUGCGACAAAAAUAGAAAAAAAAAUUACAUAAAUUGUUAUAUACUUUUAUUAUAUGAUCAUAAUAUUUAAUUUAGACAAGUUUUGAUAUAUAUAAUUGCUUAAAAAAUUACUGUUCUAGAAAUAUUCCAUAGCAUUCAUAAUUUCAUUUUAUCUUUCUUUAUAUGACAUCAUAUUAUUUAUCAUACUAUAUCUCUUUCUCACAUUAAGUGUAAAAAAAAGUUAAAAAAUCUCCACCAUUAAUUUUUGAAUUUAGACUGUGAUUGCAACUUACACUUUGUCCUCAAUAGCUCCCUCCCCCUUCGAAAAAAGAAACUACAACGAGUCAUUUGGACUAUCCAUAUAUCUGAGUCCGACAACCAACGUUUCCGUUCAUCAAGUCGGCCCAAGAUAGUCAUGUAAACCCAUGGUGUCUGAGAACAACAAAUUCUUAUCGACCAAAAAUGAUAAUUGGACAACUAAAAUCUUACCAAAAAUGAAAAAACAAAAAUAAAAUCUGAUCCGAAUAACAAUGAAAAGGAAAGAACAAAAAAAAUUCUUCGGCACACUGAGGGGAAACCAUCAACGGGUCAUCUUAUAAGAACAGGUGGAGCCAUAGAAACCCUAUCCUUUGAUUGAUUAAGAGCAAAAGAACAAAAAGAUGUUUGAUCUCUCGAGAAAUAAUGCUGUUGCCUUUGUCAUAACGAUUUUGAACUUUUGAUAUAUAAUCUUAAGCCACUAGUAAGCAAUUUCACGUAGCCCAAUCCACACAUUGGACUACUAUUAAGUAUCAACAAUUCAUUCAUAUGUCCAGACAAGGAGAAAUUAAUUUUAUGAAAUCAAAACAUAAAAGAUAUUUAAUAUAAAUAUAAUAUCUAUGGAAUAAAAUCACUUUUUAUGUAUUUAUUUUUUUAAUAAAAAAACAACACAUCACUACAAAAAAAAUUCUCUUUCGUUUAAAUAGCAGCAUUUGUUCUUUUGGUAGUUAGUUAUAUAGUUAUGUGUUUUUUUAAGAAAGUUAUGUGUUAUUUUUUAUAAAAAAAAAAUAUUAGGUAACACUUUAAAGAUAUUUUACAUUUUCAUUUAAUCAUGGAUUACCAAUUACAGUGAAAUUAUUAACUAUUAUGAUAAUUAUCCUAAAAAAUUAUAUUUAAGGUCAUUUUUAAUUGAUGAAUAUUGGAUAAUGUCAUUUUUUUAUACUAACAUUAAAAUUAUUUUUUUUUUCAAAAUGAUUUAUAAGUUAGGCUAUGUUCAGUUAGAUAUUUUAGUUAAUUUUUAAAUUUUUUUAUUAACUAAAAAACUCAUUUGAUUGUUUGGUAAAAAAAAUUAAUAGUUUCUAAUGUUUUUUAAAAUUUUGGUUUCUAACUUAUAGUUUUUUAUUUUUAUUCUUAAUAUAUUUAUUCAUUUUAUUUGUUAUUUUUUAAAAUAAAUCAUGAUUUUAUUAUUUUUCUGUCAUUUUGUAUUUUUUAGUUAUUUCAAUAAUUAAUUUUACUAAAUAUUUUUAAUUUAAUAAACUGAUUUUUCAACUACUAGUUUUUCAACUUUCAAUUAACUUUCUAAUUUUCAAUUAGUUUUUUUUUUGUUAUUUUUGCCGAAGAUAAGCUUAAUGAGUUAAUGAUAAUGUAGUACCAAUAUAAAAAUUUUGUACAAUAAUUAAAGGAAAAAAAAACUUUACAAGCGCAUUGAAUUAAAUUCAUCCGAUACAUGCUGCUUACAAGUUACAACAGUUUAUUACCCGCACGUUUAGUGUCGCAUUUUUUGGUCAUGAACGUGUAUUAAGUUGAAGAAAGUAAUAAUAAUAAUGGCUGUAAAAAAAAAAGAAGAAAGUAAUAAUACUUGGUUCUUCCUUACUGUGAUUAUGAACAAUUUGACGAAAAUUUUGAAGAAAACUUAAAUGAUGAAAGUUAAGUGCUAUGUGGGAUGGGUGAAGAUAAACAAUUCACCAUGAACAGUUGGGGUAAUGGCGUGAUGCACAGAUUGCUUUUGGAAAGUGCCAAUGUGACAUGAAAUUGCAAAUUUUGAAAGAAAACACGUGUGUGGUGCUUCUAUUCUUCUGUCAUGGAUGAGUGCCAAGGGAAUGAUCAAUGAAUGGAGCUAAACAGUCAUUUUUUAAUAAUCGUAUCAUUUGCUGCGGAUUAUUUAUUCAUUUUAUUAAUGAGUAAAUAAUAUACCAAUUACAUUUAAUUUUAAAUAUUCUGUAAAUAUUUCUUAAUUUUUUUUUAUCACAUCAUUAACUUAUUAAACUUAUUUUUUUCUUUACAGGUGUUAAAUACUUGAAUAACAUUUAGGAAUAUAAUUAUUUUCUUUACCGGUGUUAAUUUUUCUUUAUUGGUGUUAAACUUAAAUAAUAUACUUAUUUUUUUAUCUUUCCUUUCCUAAUAACUCAUUUCUAUUAGGAAUAUAAUUAAAUAUUUUCAUCAAGAUCAUUUUUUUAUUUAUUUAUAAUACUCAAAUAAAGAUGUGAUAGAAAAGUAUAUAAAAAUAAGAUAGCAAUGAAAUAAAAUUUUAAUUAAUAUUUUUUAAUAAAAAUAUCAAAAUAAGUUUUUUUUUCAUUUUCUUUGCAAUUAUUGAAAAAAUAAAAUGAGAUUAAUAAUCAUAAACUAAUAGUGUAAAAUAAUUUUAUAUUAUUAUUCAAUUAUAAAUUAUUAUUAAUAUGAUUAGGAUCAUUAUGUAAAAUUGUUUUGAGUGUAUAUUUUAUUUUCUCAAAUAAAAUAUAAAAUAAUUUAAUAAUUUUGAGAUGAUUAACUAAAAAUUAAAAAUAAAAUCAAACACCCUUUUUUUUCUCACUUUUCACUACUGUAUUUUCACCUGUCAAUUUUUUUUAUCUCGUGUCUAUACUUUUUUUUUAAAGAAAAAUAGUCUUAUGUUUGUUUUAACUACUUUUUUUUGGAAAUAUAUUUUAAGAAAUUACAAGUUUUUACUUUUUAGAAAUUUAAACAGAUUAAUUUAACUCCGUUGAUAUUCUAUACAGUAUUUGUCUCCCCAAUUUGAAAUAUUAGUCGUGUUUUUUUAUCAGAUACUAUUAUUGAAGGAAUACAAGAAGAUGCACUCACAUAAUUUAUUUCAUUAAUAUCAAAUUAUUUUAAGCAAUGAAAAUGUUAAGAUAAAAUAAGAGGAAAAAAAGAUUAUAUAUUAUUUUUGUGAGUUUAAUAGUCAUAUAUUAACCUUCUAAAACAUUUUUGCAGUCAGUGUAUUAUUCUUUUAUCUUAUUUUAUUUUAUGUUGUCAUCAUCUCAUUACAAAUUAUUAUUAUAUAUAUAAUAAAUUUAUUAAGUUUUAUAAUAAUUAUCUUUAAAAUUAUAACAAGAAUUGUAAUAGAAUAAAAAUGUAAUUUCAUACCAUCAUUACCAUUAAAGUCAUAAAAUAAAGUUAACCAUAACUAAUAAUUCUCUUUUAUGUUUUCACUCAAUAAAAUAAAAUAUAUGAUUUAAAAUGAAAAUUUUAAUUCUAUAACUAAUAUAUUUUUUCCUCUUUUGUUUAACACAAUUAUUUAAUUAUAAAUUACAGUUUAAAUUAUUUUAAAAUAGUUAUUUUAAAAAUUAAUAAUUUUAUUAUAUAUAAUAAAUUAUGAUUAGAUAAGUGUGUGUAAAAAAAUUUAUAUUAUUAAUACAUAAUUUUUCUCUCUCUAGUAUUUUAAAUUUGACAAAGUAUUUAUGUUAAAAGAAAAUAUGAUAAAAAAAUUAAUAUUUAGAGAAAGAAAUUUAUUCAAAUAUGAUUUGAAUAAAAAUAUUUUUAAUAGAAGAUAUAUGCUGUAAAAAAAAAAAAAUUGUUGGGCAUGACGAGGAACAUGUCAUGAUCCAUCGAAAGCAUUUUCUGACAUCAAAGUCCACUUUGUUUAGUGGUAAAAGCAAAUAACGAAAAUAGGACACUACUUUCUAAUUUCUAUCUUCGUCUUUAUAUCGCCUUGAAGCAAAAUUUCCAUUCAUACUGGAACAUGUGUUUGGAUCAUUGGAUUAUGUCAGACAACAUAAAGGGAAAAUUUUAACUUUUUAUGACCAGUAAGUGAGUUUCUGGGAACAUGCUUGCUUUUAGCUUUAAGUAUAUUAAUUGUUAAUUUUUAUUUAUCGUGUCACACGGUUUAGCAAUUAAAAUAUUUUAAUAAUUUCUGCUACAGACAUUUAAAAAUUAAAAUUAAAGAAAAAUAUUUUUUUAAUUAUCUGUAAAGAUGAAAAUAUUUUAUCAAAUUAAAUAAUUUAUAAAUAAUAAUAUAAAUUUGAAAAAUUUUGUUCCCUAAAAGGAUACAUUUAAUUUCUCAUUUUCAAUAAAAAAAAAUGAUUUAUGAUACAUUUCUUGAAAAAGGUUAAGGACAUAAAAUAUAAGACAUGUCAAUGAGAAGCAAACAUAUAAAAUAAUUAUUAUUAAAAUAUAUUUGAUUUGAUAAAAUAUUUUAUUUUGUAACCCGUUUUUUAAAAUGAUUAUAAAAUUCUACUUUAUUUUUAUUUUUCAUGUAGAAAAUAUUAAAAACUGAAAUAAAAUGAAAAUAAUAUGAUAUAAUUUUAAUUAUUUUAAAAGUAAAUAACAUAAAACUAGUUAUAAGGUUUAUUAUGUGUGUAGAUAAAAGAAACUUUUAUUAUUUUAUAUAAUAUAUUUUUUCACUCAAGAACAAUAUAUUUAUGAUUUUAUUUCAACAUCUCAACACAUAUAUGAUCAGAUGGCUUAUUUCUUUUGAAUCAAGUGAAACUAUUUUUUAUUUUUAUAGAACACAGUUAUUUUUUAUGCAGAGAUAAUUUUGCUCAAAAUUAAUAGGAUACGAUUAUUGGGAGCAAAAAAGUUAUCCCUUUGAGAAUUUAGCUUAGCGUCGUUAUAUAUUUUAGAUUCAAAUUUAAGAUAUCUAAUUAAACUAAAAUAGAUCUCUAAAGUAAUUAAAUAGAAAUAUAUUAUAUUUAAAUUUUAGUGCAUUAAAAUUAUUGAUGCAUAUAUUAAAAUUUAUAAUAAACACAUUUAUUUACUUUAAAGCCAAGUUCAUUAUAAGCGAGUCUUAUAUAUAUAUAUAUAUAUAUAUAUAUAUAUAAUGCAAAUCAAACAAUAUUCACUUUUUUGUAAUAAAUAUUGCUAUUUUUUCUUUAUUUAAAAUUUGAAUAAAAAUAACAAAAAAAGAGAAAAAUGAAUUGAACUGACUUGCCUUGACAUGACCUUAUCAUCAUUAUUACUAAUUUACUAUCUUUUACUAACUUUUGAGCGUGCAAUUUCCAAAACCACAAAAAUAGUGAGACCUACCAAACCUAUGAUCAAGAAAGAAAAAGAAAAAAGAUGCAUUCACACACAAUGUGAAAUGGAGGAAUAUGAGAGAGAAAAAAAAAAAAGAUUUGUUGCAACUAUAAAAAUAGAUGGAGCUUUCGGUGUAGCUGGCUAAAUAAGACAUCUAAAGAUCUCCAUUACCAGCCAUACUAUAUAGUAUAUAUCUUCCUUCAUUUAAGAUUUACUGGCUCAGCUUCUAAGGUGCUCAACUCUUUUAUUCCAACUUUCUUUCUUUCUCCUUUGCUUCUUUUUUCCCCCCUCCCUGCACUCUCUUUCUUUGUUUAAUGUUACGUGCACAAGUAAUUCUUACACGAACAUAAUGUUUAUAAAUAUAAUCAAUUGAAAGCUUAAGAUAUAUUUAAAUCAUUAUAAAAUUUAUGCUCAAAGUCACGUUAAGUUAGUUACUUAACUGUUAUAUUAGAUUGCUAAUUUCAUAUGUUAGUUUGCACAAACAUUGCUUUAUACUUAGAUGUGAAUGGGCUUGAAUACUUUUUGAGCUAGCCUGACAAGAAGUGUGGCUAGGCUAGAAAAUGUUAGAGUGUUGCUAGGUGCACCCAGCAUUAUUGCUGGUGCACCCAGCAUUCUUUUAAAAUAACAAAACUGUCCUUACUAAUUUCUCCCCUUAUAGAUCAAGUUGAUCCGUAAAUUGAUUUUUAAGACUUACGGAUCAACUUGAUCUGUAAGUCUUAAAAAUCAACUUACGGAUCAACUUGAUCCGUAAAAGACUUACGGAUCAAGUUGAUCCGUAAAAUACUUAUGGAUCAAGUUGAUCCGUAAGUUUUAAAAAUUAACUUACGGAUCAACUUGAUCGGUAAGAAAUAUUUUUGUCUUUUUGUGAUUAAUGCUGGGUGCACCACCAAUAAUGCUAGGUGCACCUAGCAGCACUCAAAAUAUUUAAGCCCGAAAAACUUUAUUGGCUCGAGUUGUGAACAACCCAAUAAUCAAUCUCUUACACACUGUAUCAGGCUGCUAUUCCUACCCCCGUUUUUUCUCAGCCCAUAUUGUGUUUGCUGCUUGUCCCAAUAAUCAAUCUCUUACACACUGUAUCAGGCUGCUAUUCCUACCCCCGUUUUUUCUCAGCCCAUAUUGUGUUUGCUGCUUGUCCCAUAAAUAUUCCUGUCAGAACUGUGUUUCGGUUACAUAAUAUACACAGUGCAAACAACUUUAAAAAUAAGACACCGACUAUUUUCAAUUAUCAUUUUAUUUUUUAGAUUUUAUUAUUUAAGCUAGUUUUUUUUAACUGACAUAGCGAGUGAAGUAGAGGAUGGAGGGAAGAGUAAAUUAAAAAAAAGAAAAAGAAAAGAAAAACAAGAAGAAAGACAAUGAGUUUUUGGAUGGAAAUUUUUAUACUCAAUGUAUUUUAUCAUUUUUAUGUCAUUUUAUAUUUUUUAACUACUUCAAUAAUUAAAUUUAUCAAAUACUUAUAAUUUAAUAUGUUAUUUUUAGUUUUCAAGUAUCUGUUAGCUUUUGAGUUAGUUUUAUCGAAUAUAAUCUUAUAAUAAGGGAUAAAAAAAUUAUUAACUAUAUUUUACAAACAAAGACAAAUAAGUUGUUUUUAAUUGAGAUUAAUAUAAUUAAAUAUAAUUAAUUAAUUCGUAAAUCAAAUUUUUUUAAUAUUUAAGACUUGAGAAAGUACUAAUAAGUAGCCAAGUCGGCAAAAACUCCAUACUAUGUACAACGAUGAAACAACCUAAACGAAAGAGAGAGAGAGAGAAAAUGCAUAAAAACUUCUCAUAAAUAAGAAUUGAGGUUCAACAGAUUAUAUAUAUAUAUAUAUAUAUGCAAUACAUAAAAUAUAUAGUAAUAUAAAUUAGGAUGAAUCUCACAUUUUGAUAAUGAUAGAGGAUUAUCGUAAAAAAAAAAACAGAGGAUUGAGGGAAAAGUAAAUUAAAAAAACAAAAGAAAAGGGGAAAAAGGUUAAAAAAAGGUGUGAGAGUUUUUGGAGGAUAUUUUUUUAUUUAUGAGAGUGAAAUAAUAAUAAUAAUUCUAUUCGUAUCUAUAAUUAAAAAAACUAAUUUCAUGUUUAAUAAAAAAAUUAGUCAACUUUAUUAAAUUAUAUCAAUUUGAAUUAAAAAACAAUCUUUUUCUCUAAUAAAUUAUUUUUUUUAGUGAAACUUCAUAUCAAACAUAAAUCUCCUAUUAAAUGACAAAUGCUUUAAAGAUAAUUUCAUUAAUGAGAUAAAAAUAAUUGAAAUUUAUUUAUAUUUAAAAAUAAAAAAAUAAUAUUUUUUAUGUAGCGGAUCCAGAUUCUAUUUAAUUAAAAAUAAUUAAAGAGUCUCCAAUUAACAAUUUUUCAACCAUUAGAUUAAAUUGAGGGUUUAGAUUUGAUCACGUUUCCAAUUAAUAAAUAUUGUUGUUUUAAAAAAUAUAUUAAUUUUUUCUAAUAUUCAAUCUCUUUCAUGCACGAGACCAAAAUCUCUUCCUCGUUCACGUGAUUGCUUCUACCAGCAUGGCCGAUGACGGACAAAGCAUGGCCGAUGACGGACGAUGGGUGUAAAACGUCGACGGAUGACUUCUCUCCUCUCUCACUUUUUUCCGAUGUGGUUUAAAUCCGGUGAGGUCACCACGGUCUCUCACACACAUUUUCUGGCAAGGUAGCUAUUCUCUCUCCCUUUUUUGGUGCUUUUCGGCAAGAUCACAUUCUUUAUGGGUUUUCGUUCAGGUAAGGUGUCCUUUUCGACACGAUUUUUGUUUUCGCCCUUUUUUUGAGUUUCUAUUGUGUGUUUUUGCCUUUUUGGCUUUUCACAUUUCAUGGUUAAAAGUGAUAACUAACGAUUCAUAAGUUUGUUGUUUCUUAACUUUGUUAUUAGUUGUCUCAAUUUUCUUCAUUUUUUUAAAACUAAUAUCUCUUUGUGUUCUUUCUACUAAAGUUUAAAUCCUGCAUUUAAAGGGAGAGAAAAGAACUACCUCGUCGAAAAACAUAUGAAGUGAUAGUGAUGACCUAGUUGGAUUUAAACCAUGUUGAAAAAAAGCGAGAGAGGAGAGGAGUCAUCCAUUGAUGUUCGACACCCAUCGUUUGUCGAUGUUUGACACCAGUCGUCUGUCAUCGACCGUGUUGAUAGAAGUAGUUGUAGGAAUGAGAAAGGAAUUUUGGUCUCGUGCGCGAAAGAGAUUGAAUAUUAGAAAUAUUUAAUAUAUUUUUUAAAACAACAAUAUUUAUUAAUUAAAAACAUGACCAAAUCUAAGCCUUCAAUUUAAUCUAAUGGUUGAAAAUUUGUUGAUCGGAGACACUUCAAUUAUUUCCAAUUAUUUACAUUACUCAUGUAUAGUGGUGAACCAACAAAAGAAAUAGGUAAUAAUAAAAGUAACAAAUAAAUGAACAUAUAGUAAAUGAAUGUUCGAAUUAAAAUACUCAUUAAUGAUAUCAUUAAAUUUUUUAUAUUUUUUUCAAUACGUAAUAAUAAAUGCACAUUUAAAACCCAUUUUGUAUUAAAUGUUCUAUUAUUUAAUAUGAUUCAUUAAAUAGGUAGUAAAAAAUAAAAUAUUAGCCAUAAAUAGUAACCGAGCUAUGACAUUUAAAGACCUACAUUAUUACCAGCCAUACGAUCCUCUUCCAUUUGAGAUUUACUGGCUCAGCUUGUAAGAGAACCUCACUCCACUACAACCAGCAGGUGCUCAAUUUCUUUCUUUCUCCUUUGGUUUGAAUGGGUGUCUUAUCCUCACUUUGAUUUUUUUCCCCUUACUGCACUCUCUUUCUCUGUUUAAUGUUACACGCAGGAGUAAUUCUUACACGAACAUAAUGUUUAUAAAUAUAAUAAGAAUUUUGCUAAUGAGUGUCCUUAGAGUAUUGAAUAAAAAAAUUUUAAAAAAUAUUUAUUAUGUAAAACAUAAAAAAAAUCACAUGCAUUAUAAUUUUAUACAUUCGAAUAUUUUUUUUUAUUUUUAAUUCUUGAAUCAUAUAAUAAUCAAUUGAAAGCUUAAUAUAUAUUAAAAUCAUUAUAAAGUUUAUGCUGAAAGUCACGUUAAAGACUACAUUAGAUAGCUAAUUACUUUGAUGUGUUAGUUUGCACAAACAUUGCUUUAUACUUAGAUGUGAAUGGGGUUGAAUCUAGUGUAUUAGAUACAGUUUUCAGCACAUAUUGUGCGUGGUAAAAUCUUGUUGUAAAUUUCAAUUACUGUGUGACAAGUUGUGAUUAGAAAAUAAGAAAGUUCCAAAACAAGACAGGCCAGGCACCGCUGCAUUGCUGGAGACUGAAAGACAAAGACACUCAUCCAUCCUGAUAGGAAGCCCGGAAUUAUUUUUUGUACCCACGCUAUCUUUUUUACGUUACUUUCAAUUAUUUUAUUAAAAUUUUCAAUCUUAAUUUAAAAAAGUAUUUUAAUUUAAUUUUUUAAUAUAUUAAAUAUUUUUCCAUAAAUUUAAUUUUAGAAAGUGAUUUGUAAAACAUUUGAACUAGUGUUUAUAGAUGUGAUUUAUAAACCAAUUUUAGAAUUAAAUUUUCAAAAAUAUAUCAAAUGUAUUUUGAAAUUAAAUUAUCAAUAAAUGAUAAAAAGAAUGCUCGAGCAAAAAUAAUUACAUAAUACGAAGCGCUGGAAAAAAAAGUCAAAGUUAGUUAUUGUGGUGGCCACUGGCCAAUGCGGUCAUGAUGCCCAUAUGAUAAUUCCAUGUAGCACGGAAAUGAAGUGAAAUAAUUUAUUUAAAUCGUACAAUCAACGGGAGAAAUAAUUACAUUAAGAGUUAAUACAUUUAUUAUAUAUGACGGUUUUUCAUUAAAUGAAAGCAUAAAAAAUUGUACAUAACAUAAACAAUUAAAAAUUUAAACUAUUGAACACUUUAUUUGUGUAUAUUGUAAUCGUAAUUUUUUAUAUGAAAAUGUCUAUAUAUCUAAUUGUAAUCAUUCCCUCACAUGAUACCCGAGAUUUAAAGAAAAAGAAAAAUGCAUACGCAAGAAAAUAAUAUAAAUUAUAUCAUUAAAAAUAAUUUUAUUAGUUUAAUUUGCAUGUAUUUUGAGUAUAUAGUUUUUUUUACUAUCAAUUAAUUAAAAAUCACCAUAUAUAACUUUCAAAUUAAUUAUUAUAAAAAUUAAUAAUUUUACUGAACAUGUUUAAUUUAUUAUUGGACAAUAGUGUAAUUUUUUAAACUGUUAGGGUAUUUAAGUUAAAUUUUAAUUUUAUUGUUACAUAAAAGAAUCAUCCUCCGAUUUAACUUUUAAUUGUUAAAUGAUUUUAGAAAUUUGUGCAGGUAAUACCAACCAAGCAGCAUUAGAGGAUAGAAUACAUCAUCAUGUGCUUUUCACAUUACAGGUACUAUAUGUCCAGCAAAUUCUUGGAUCUCAUAUCAUAUCUAGAUGAGUCACAACUUUGAAAACAAGUCAGUGGCUAUUUUCAAUAUAUUUUUUUAUUCAUCCAGCCGCCACUGAUCUUUGAAAGUCCACAUGCAUUAUCAUAUUAAUUAGCUAUUCAACAAAUUCAUGCUGGAAAUGGAAUUUACGUGAAUUUGCUGAAGAAAAUUUGGUGUGACUAAAGAGGAUUUAAAUUCAAAUUUGAUCUUUUGUUGAACAAAAUAAAAAUUAUCAAUUUAAAAAAAAUAAAUAACAUCACAUUUUCCUUGGCACAUAACUUGACGUUAUUAAUAAUUGAAAGUUAUAAUAUUAUAUUAUAUGGUUAUUUCCUUCCUCUUUCCUCGUCUUCAUGGAAAGUGCAUGGCUCCACCGUCAGUAAAAAAAUGCCAAGUGAUAUGCAUCUUCGGCGUCUUCAUCCAGAAAAGCACUUAUUAUAGCUACGCAUCGUAAUUUCAUAAAUAUAUUAUAUUCUUUGGCGGACCCAAGCUAAACGAACGCUGAUUAGAUUGAAGUUAACUUUUAAUAUUUUUUAAUAAAAUCACAACACAAAAGUGCUCUUGGGAGAGACACAUUUGGGUUAUCACCACUUACGCUUGAAAAACUUUAGCUUAGACAAAAGUAAAAUUGAUCCCAUUUUAAGUUUUAGUUUUUAUAUGUAAAUAUAAAAUUACUAUAAAUACUUUCUGAAAUAUUAAUUCACUAAUAAAAUUUGUGUCAAUAGACCAUUAACAAGUAGUUAGAUGAUAUUAAAUUUAUUUAUUUUUGAAUAAAAUUUUAAAUUUGAGUCAUAUGAAUGAAUAAAAUAUUAAAAAUGAACAGUUAGAUUUUUUAACAAAAAUUAAUGAUUAAUAAAAUUGAUAAGUGUUUGAUAACAAUAAUAUUAUAAAAAAAACUUAAAAUAGAGAAAAUCACAAGAGCAAUAGUUUAACGUAAAAGAUAUAACAACCGUUUGCAGUAAUCACUUUUCCAAUUACUACCUUCAAUUCAAAGACAACAUGUUAUUAUAAUAUGAACUAAAAAACAUGCUUUCAUGGGAAAAAACCAAUCUGCACAAGUACUUUCUGUGCUGGUCAAUGAUGAAUGAGGAGAUUAAAAAACAAUAACUAAAUGAAAGAGAGAGAGAGAGAGAGAGAGAGAGAGAGAGAGAGAGAGGCACCCCAAAUUAAACAAGCACAACAACUCUUCUUUGGUCUUGUAGAUGUAACAAAACAGCUCUCUCUUUAUGCAAUUGAAUGCACCUUUGACAAUCAUACGACCAGAUUGGAUUGUUUCCCCGUCAAGGGGGCCACACAAGAGGUGGCUACUAUAGGAUCUUCUUCACACAAGAGCUUUCCUUGUUUAAAAGGAGAAACAAAAACACACACUUUAGUUUUUUCUUUCUGAGUGAAGACUUUUCUUUCUCCCUUCCAUGCAUCCCCCCACAAUCUGUAACAAUCAUUGGCAACUUCUGAGAUCAUAUCAGUGAUUGUGAGGAGCUUGAGGCUUAACAGCUCCAGCAAUAAUAGCUACUGCUUCAAGCAAAGCUAAGUUCAAUUCUUCCAAUGGAGUUAACUCCAAGAGGAAGAACUCAAGGUCAUGUGUUGACCUUUGAGAGAGAUGCAGAUUCCUUUGUGGAGGAAGAUAAGGAGCUUCAGUCCAAGUGGGCUGCUAUAGAGAAACUACCAACUUUCAAAAGGAUUAAGACUUCUUUUGUUGAUGUCAGUCAGGAGGAGGGUGCAAGCAGCAGCAGCACCGUCAUCACGUUGAGAAGCGGAAGCAAAAGGGUGGCUGAUGUUUCCAAGCUUGGAGCUGUGGAAAAGCGUUUGUUCAUUGACAAGCUCAUCAAGCACAUUGAGAAUGAUAACCUCCAACUGCUGCAGAAACUAAGAGAAAGGAUGGACAGGUAUUUAUUUAAACUUGCCUUGAUCAACCUGCAAAAGAUGUUCUUUCUGUUGUUGCAAACAAAAUAGGGGUAACAUUUUGUUAGAGUAAUUGGUAGAGUGGGGUAUUGAGUAUUGACAUAUUUGUCUUCUUGGUAUGGAUUCAAUUCUAAAUUAGGAUAGCUUUUGACCUGCUUUCAAGUUUCUAUUUGAUGUUAGAGACUUCCUUUUUGUGUUUCCCCCAUUGAUUGGUUUUCUUUUUAUUCAGUUUCCCACUUUGAUUGUGUAGAGACAUAGAUGGGGUACCAGUUGAUGUAGGCACUUUAUUUCAAGAAUUGACAAAUUGGUUGUUUUCAGAGUCAAUGUGAAGUUACCUACUGUGGAGGUCAAGUACAAGAACCUGAAUGUAAGAGCAGAAUGUGAGGUUGUUCAAGGGAAGGCACUGCCAACUCUUUGGAACUCUUUUUCUAGCUCACUUUCUGUAAGUACGCUUCCUCCUUGAACCUAAGCUGGCCACUCUCCUAUGACACCUAAUACUAUAUAAAGCAAUGUUAAGAGACACAAGCUUAAAAAAAAAAAAAAGGAAAGAAAUGUUUGCAUCCGUUCAUGCUAAAAUGGGCGAAACUUAUCAAUUGAACAGGGUUUCAUGAAGACUAUAUCGUGUACUUCUCAAGGAGCAGAGAUAAGCAUUCUGAAUAAUGUCAGUGGCAUCAUAAAGCCCUCAAGGUAGGUGAAUAUGUUAUGUGUGUAUGUUAUUUUAGAACACGAGAUAACUUAGAAAUGCUAACAACACACUUUUUAUUAUUGGUUGAAAUUUAUUGUAACUCAUUUAGAGUAAGACUGGGAGUGAGACCCACAUGAUUUAAUGUGUUACAAAUGAAUUUUAAACAAUAGUAAAGAGUGUUAUUAGUAUUUCUCAUUUUCAGCUAGUUACUGACAAAAUAAGUAUUCAUGUGCACAUGAAUGUGUCUCAAGCACAUGUUUUCAGUCUUUAAAAAUUCAGUCCCUUAAAAUUCACUUGUGAAAACUCUAUUAAGCAUGGAUAUUGUAUUGUCAUAAAAAAAUAUUAUGAUAAAAUUUACAAUAAAAGGGGCCAAAUUGCUAAGUAAUAAAAAAUGUUUCUGAGUGCAGGCUUACUCUUCUUCUCGGUCCACCAGGGUGUGGGAAAACCACUUUGUUAAAGGCACUUGCUGGAAAACUAGAGCAAUCUCUCAAGGUCUGCAUUUUAAACACAAUAUAUAGUGAAAUCAUUGGCAAUAUUCAUUUAGUUUGAUCAUAAUCAUAUAGAAACUUGUUUGAGCAUAACAUAAACUAAUCAGGAUUAUGCCUAGCACUACAAUUAAUGCUUCUUCUUAUAUGAAGGAAUUCUAAAAGUCCUUCAGAAGCUAAUGUAAUUGAGCAAGCUGAAUUUCCCUAUACUGCAAUCCCUGUGACAUUCUACUAUUUCUACUUAUCUUCAGGUUUCUGGAGAAAUCUCUUACAAUGGUUACAAGCUAGGUGAAUUUGUUCCCCAAAAAACAUCUGCUUACAUAAGCCAGUAUGACCUGCACGUUCCAGAGAUGACAGUGAGAGAAACGAUUGACUUUUCGGCACGCUGCCAGGGUGUUGGAGGCAGAGCUGGUAAUGUUUCUUAGUUCUUACUCAAUCCUUGAUUAUCCACGAAAUUGUAACUAAUACAGUACCGGCAGUCAUUCAUAUAUAUCCUUUGUAUUGCAGAUCUAGUGGCUGAAAUCAGCAGGAGAGAAAUAGAAGAAGGGAUCAUUCCUGACCCAGAUAUUGAUACCUAUAUGAAGGUAAUUUUAGUUUGUAAAACUCAUAUGUCAUAAUUACCAAACAACCAGUUUACAAAUAAAAUAACCAUAUUUUUGCAGGCAAUUUCAGUUGAAGGACAAAGUGAAAAUCUUCAAACUGAAUAUGUUUUAAAGGUAAAUCUGCUUCAAGCAGGGCUGAGUUAGAGUACAUAGUUAUUGAGUGGUUCAUUUAGUAUGUUUCUAUCCUUUUUGACACGUGAAUACAAACUUUUGAUAUCCUAGAUUCUUGGACUGGAUAUCUGUGCUGACAUACUGGUAGGUGAUGCUCUAGAUAGAGGCAUUUCAGGUGGACAGAAGAAAAGGCUAACUACAGGUAUGAGGAAUGAUAAAUAAUGUUUUAUAUGCCACUUUGUUGUAAUUGAAAAAUUCAGAACUCAAUAUUCUCCUUGUAACUAUAAGAACUCCUGGCUGAAAACAUAUGAAAUGCCUCACCUCUUUACUAGACCAAUGAUCACUGAUAAACUGAAGGCUAGUGAAACUUCUGCUUAGGCUGCAAAUAAACUAUUUAUUCUUCAUCUUCAUAAUAUUUUCCCCUCAAUGUAUCCAUUUAAUUUUUUUCUUUCAAAAUCCUAUGACAGGAGAAAUGAUUGUGGGUCCUAUAAAAGCUCUUUUUAUGGAUGAAAUAUCAACUGGCUUGGACAGCUCCACAACCUUUCAAAUAGUUACAUGUCUCCAGCAAUUGGUGCACAUCACUGAUGCAACUGCAGUGCUUUCACUCCUUCAACCAGCACCAGAAACCUAUGAGUUAUUUGAUGAUCUUAUAUUAAUGGCAGAGGGGAAGAUAGUAUACCAUGGCCCCCGCAGUCAAGCACUCCAAUUUUUUAAGGAUUGUGGUUUCUGGUGCCCGGAAAGAAAAGGAGUGGCAGACUUUCUUCAAGAGGUGAGAUAACAAAUGAUCCCCUCUUCUCUCCUUUUUUUUUGUGUGUGUCAUAGGGAGCCAGGCAUUGCUAACUGGACCUUAACUUUUGUUGAGUACUUAGCUACCAUUGAGCCGAAGCUCAAGAGAAAUUUCCUUCUUGUUUAAUCCACUUUGUCCUCAUAGCAUAGCCUCACAAAUGAAAAUUUUCAACUAUGUACAGGUAAUCUCUAAGAAGGAUCAAAGGCAAUACUGGUACCGCAAUGAUAUUCCUUACAAAUAUGUUUCAGUGGAUGAAUUCUCUCAAAUAUUCAAAUCAAGUUAUUGGGGGAGAAUGUUAAAUGAUGAGCUCUCACGGCCAGAUGAUAAAUCUGAAUCCCAUAAAAAUGCUUUAUCAUUUAGCAAGUACUCCUUGGGAAAAUUGGAUUUGUUUAAAGCUUGUAUGAAGAGAGAGAUUCUUCUCAUGAAACGGAACUCAUUUAUCUAUGUCUUUAAAACUGCACAGGUUAGUAUCAAGUUCAACCCAGCUAAGUGACACCCGAAUACUUCAACCAGUUACUUUGAUCUUACUUGUUUCCUUUUCUCAUUUUGCAGCUUACAAUCACAGCUAUCAUAACAAUGACAGUCUUCAUACGUACUCAGCGGACUGUGGACUUGAUAGGUGCAAACUAUUUAUUGGGUUCAUUGUACUAUACUCUUGUCCGCCUCAUGACUAAUGGAGUUGCAGAGUUGAUCAUGACUAUUACUAGACUCCCUGUUGUUGAUAAGCAGAAGGAAUUCUAUCUCUAUCCAGCUUGGGCUUACUGCCUUCCAUCUGCCAUUCUAAAGAUUCCAUUUUCAGUUCUUGAUUCUAUAGUUUGGACAUCCGUAACAUAUUAUGUUAUAGGCUACAGCCCUGAAAUAACAAGGCAAGUACAUUGUUUAAUUUCAUGCACACACAAAAUAGCCUUCUUUUCUUUUAUUUUGCAAAGUUUUUCUUAUCUCUCUCUCUUUUAUUGGAUUAGGUUCCUCCGCCAGUUUCUUUUGCUUGUCACUUUGCAUAUGUCAUCAACCUCCAUGUGUCGUUGCCUUGCUUCGGUUUUCAAAACUGAUGUUGCAGCUACAACUGUUGGUUCCUUGGUCUUAGUACUGAUGUUCUUGUUUGGAGGCUUUAUUCUUCCUCGGCGUAAGCAAUUUUAUAGUCCCUAGUUAUAAAUGUUGUACUAAUUACAAAGUUACUCAUGUCUCAUGGAGUUAUAUUUACUGCAGCAUCACUACCACGGUGGUUGAGGUGGGGAUUUUGGCUUUCUCCCAUGUCAUAUGGGGAAAUAGGAAUAACACUAAAUGAAUUUCUUGCUCCUCGCUGGCAAAAGGUAUCUUCUAAGACAAUUAUUUAUUCAGCUUCAUGAUAGGUCAGUCUUAUGUAUAUAUCUAUAUUACUUUCCUUUUUAUUUGCAGAUCAAAGUGGGAAAUGUCACUGAAGGGAGGGAGGUUCUUAGGAGUCAUGGUUUAGACUUUGACAGCCACUUCUAUUGGAUAUCAGUUGGCGCCCUACUUGGUUUCACCAUACUAUUUGAUUUUGGAUUUGUCUUGGCAUUAUCAUACAUAAAACGUAAGCCCUGUCUAAGUUAAUACAAGGAAACAAAUCAAACAGUUAUAUUAUUUUGUUCAAUCCACUGAAUUUAUGGGAAAUGUAUUCAGAGCCUAAGAUGUCUCGAGCUUUAGUCUCAAAAGAGAGGCUCUCUCAACUAAGGGAACGAGAAACAAGCAAUAGUGUGGAACUGAAGUCAGUUACUGUUGAUGUUGGCCACACACCAAGGGAAAAUCAAAGCACAGGUGAAUAAAGCUUCUAUGAUAAAUUAUCUCAAAGAAGAGUUCUUUCUUUCAAGCAAAAAUAAUAAGGAUUUUUGGUAUCUUUUACAUGGUUGGUCAUGCAGGGAAAAUGGUCUUGCCCUUUGAGCCACUGUCAAUAGCAUUUAAGGAUGUUCAGUAUUUUGUUGACAUUCCUCCGGUAAUAAGCACACCUAUCUUGUUUUUCAUGAUUUGAUGUCAUUUGAAAAUGUUGUCAAUUUAGAUUUUUAACUGUCAUUCUGAACAGGAGAUGAAAAAACAUGGUUCCGAUGAGAAAAGGCUACAAUUGCUUUGUGAUAUCACAGGAGCCUUUAGGCCAGGAAUUCUCACUGCACUGAUGGGGGUCAGUGGAGCAGGAAAGACAACUCUGAUGGAUGUUCUUUCAGGAAGAAAAACUGGAGGUAUCAUUGAAGGAGAUAUAAGAAUCGGAGGCUACCCCAAAGUGCAAAAGACAUUUGAAAGAGUUUCAGGUUACUGUGAGCAGAAUGACAUACAUUCUCCAUAUAUAACCGUUGAAGAAUCUGUCACAUACUCAGCUUGGUUGCGGUUGCCAACAGAAAUUGAUUCUGUCACGAAAGGGGUAUGACGUCCUUAUCACUUGCACUGUGGUUUCUCUUUCCCAGAUAACAGAUGUAUUUUGUAACUUUCUAAAUUCUGUGUAUAUCUACUGAGCAGAAAUUUGUUGAAGAAGUCCUUGAAACAAUUGAACUUGAUGGUAUAAAGGAUUGUUUAGUUGGCAUCCCUGGCCAAAGUGGCUUGUCUACCGAACAACGUAAAAGACUAACCAUUGCAGUGGAGCUGGUUUCCAAUCCAUCAAUAAUAUUCAUGGAUGAACCUACAUCUGGUUUGGAUGCUCGAGCAGCUGCAGUUGUUAUGCGUGCAGUGAAGAAUGUUGUUGCCACUGGCAGGACGACGGUUUGCACUAUACACCAACCAAGCAUCGACAUAUUUGAGACUUUUGAUGAGGUAGUCCAAAGUGCCUUCUGUUGAUAAUAUUUGUGAAAUAACAGCUUUGGAAAUUUAUAAUAAGUCUCUAUCUUACGUACAGAAUAAGAUAGUAUAUUUACUGAAGUCUAAAACCCUACAAAAUAAAUAAAUGCAUGCAUCUCUUUCUGUGAUUUAGUAAAUAUCUUGAUUUUUUUGCUUCUAGAAUUGGAAGUGGCAAGAAGCAAAAGCUGACUUCCCUUCUUUGCAAAUGUAGAAAUAAAAUGCAUGAUGUUACCUUCUUUAGCAUGUAGAAAAGGGAAAUAAUAUACAGGUCAGCAACUAAAAAGAAGUUAUUUUUCAUGCAGUUGAUUCUAAUGAAAUCUGGAGGACGGAUUAUUUAUAGUGGAAUGCUAGGCCAUCAUUCAAGUAGACUGAUUGAAUAUUUUCAGGUAUGCUCAAACCCAGCAGUAAAGUACACAGCAUUUUAUAUUCUGGACAAAUCAAUGAUCGUCUUAUUUUCAAAUGUCCUUUUCUUACAAUAGUCUUAGACAUGCAAGUGACUGCUAUCAAACUGGUCACAAGACUAAUAUUCAAAACUGCCCUUAGGGGAGUAUUUACCUUUAUCUCUCACUUCUUCACUUAUGUUGUUGAAAUUUGUAUCUAAUUUCACUGUCCAUCAGAAUAUACCUGGGGUGCCAAAGAUCAAGGACAAUUAUAAUCCUGCAACCUGGAUGUUGGAAGCUACCUCUGCAUCUGUAGAAGCAGAACUUAAAAUAGAUUUUGCACAAAUAUAUAAAGAGUCACACCUUUGCCGGUGAGAAUUCAAUCAACUGUUAUUCAUUUAACAAAUUUAUUAACUUCUGUUUUUCAGGAUUUACAUGCCAUAUCUGGUUUUAGUUGUAAUGGUAAUGAUCACACAUUUCAGAAAACACUGAUCCCAAGUUUUGAAUUGCUGUUUCUGUUUCUAGGGAUACCCUUGAAUUGGUGAGAGAGUUGAGUGAACCACCGCCAGGUACAAAAGACUUGCACUUUUCAACUCGCUUCCCACAAAAUAGUUUGGGACAGUUUAUGGCAUGCCUUUGGAAGCAACACUUGUCUUAUUGGAGAAGUCCUGAGUACAACUUAACUCGUUUCAUUUUCAUGAUUGUUUGUGCAAUCAUGUUUGGAGCAGUAUUCUGGCAGAAAGGGAAUAAAAUGUAAGUUUGUUUUGUUAUACUUAUAAUUUGCACAGAAAAUGACUCUUUCAUUUUAUCUGGAAAAAUAAAUAUGUAUGUUAAAAGAAACUCCACAACCUCUAACUCAAGACAAUGUAGAUGCAACAUUUUAUCCAAAUAUGUCCACUGUUCCACUGUCUGUCUUCAGCAAACUGAAUCAGGCAGAAAAAAGUUAACAUAUAUGAAGUUCUUAUAGUUUUGAUAAGUUCAUUCAACAGAGAGAAGUUGAAAUCCAUAAAACAGUAAUUUCAGCUUCUUCAUUGUGAUAACCAUAGAUAGAAACAAGUAAAUUACUCUACCAAGUUCCAUGAAUAGCAAUAUAGCAUGCCUUAUUAAUACAUUUUGAAAACAUAAGACAGCAUAUAUUUUAUAUCAAAAACAUAUUAGGCACAAUCAGCAUAAGGCAUUCUUAAACUGUGAAUUUCAUGAUGCAGACAACAUUAGUGUUAACACGAUUCUAGUGUAGUGUUGAAGUUGUACAGAUGAAAGUGCUGAUAUAUACCUUUUCUAUGGUUAAAGAAACAAUCAGCAGGAUUUGUUCAACGUACUUGGAUCAAUGUAUAUUGCUGUAAUAUUCUUGGGUCUAAAUUACUGUUCAACAAUUCUACCAUAUGUGGCUACUGAGCGUGCUGUCUUGUACCGAGAAAAAUUCGCUGGAAUGUACUCUUCCACAGCUUAUUCAUUUGCACAGGUUUGCAGUCACUUCAAGCAAAUUCAAGUGAUACUUCUUUGAUAGGAAAAUCAGUAAUGUUAUUAAAUCAGUGAUAUUCUUUUGUUAAUGUAGGUGGCCAUUGAAAUACCAUAUAUCUUGGUGCAAUCAAUUUUAUAUGUGGCUAUCACAUAUCCAAUGAUAGGUUUCCAUUGGUCAGUUCAGAAAGUGUUUUGGUACUUCUACACCACAUUCUGUACAUUUUUAUACUUUGUAUAUCUUGGAAUGAUGGUAAUGUCGAUGAGCUCAAAUCUCGAUAUAGCUUCUGUAUUGUCGACUGCAGUCUACACCAUAUUCAAUCUCUUUUCUGGAUUUCUCAUGCCAGGACCGGUAAGUCUUUUAUAGCACCAUAAGGGCUUGAAUUUGUACCUUAAUUAUAUUAUAUUUGCAUCCAAGAUUUUUUUUGGGGAAUUUGGAUCCAAAAUUGACAUGUUGAGAAAAGCAUAAAUUGAUGCAAAACCCAAGUUUUUAGUAAUCCAAUCCCAGUCAAAUGCUUACUUUUAAAGAUGAAUUUUAUCCUUUCCCAAAAUGUAAUCCAUUCCAUUGUUGAAAGAUCAUAGAGUCUAUCAACAUCAAAUUCAUAAUCAAAACCACUAUCAUGGAUAAUCAUUACUUGAAUUUUUCUUUAUAGCAUGAUGCACACAGAAACAACACUAAUUUGGAAAAUAAGGAUAAGAAAGAUGCUUUAAAGCCUGACAUAACAACUAAGUUUUUUUAUGCAGAAAAUUCCUAAAUGGUGGGUUUGGUGCUACUGGAUUUGUCCUACUGCUUGGUCCUUGAAUGGCCUCCUAACUUCACAAUAUGGAGACAUAGAGAAGGAGGUACUCGUAUUUGGGGAACGAAAAUCAGUUGGUUCCUUUUUAAGAGAUUACUAUGGCUUCCGGCAUGACAGAUUAAGCCUUGUGGCUGUGGUGCUCAUUGUGUACCCAAUUGUCUACGCUUCUCUGUUUGCCUAUUUCAUAAAGAAAAUGAAUUACCAAAAGAGAUAAGAUAGACACAGACAAAGACACAGUUUGGUUCUUCUGCAGUAUGCUGGCUUCAAUGUUCAUGUAUAGAAAUAUAGAAAUAUGUGGCUACAUAGAUUAGCAAGAUCUCUCUCUCUCUCUCUCUACAGAAAAAUAACAGUGGUUCUGUGACCAGACUCAUUUCAUAAGAAAAAAAAUAUAUUUUAAAUUUUUUAUCGGGACUCUCAAUUUUUGUUCAUCUCGCUGUCUCUUCCUCGCCGCCGGUGGCAACACCCACCACCACCACCACCACACCCACAACCUCCCUGUGCUGCUGCCGCUCUUCUACCUCUUUCUAGUUUUUUUUUUUUUCCACUCUUCUCUUUCUUUCAUGCAUCUGAGUAUUUUUUUUUCAAGGUCAGAUCCGCUUCACUUCUUCUCUCUUUCUAAUUUUUUUUGGAUUUUUUUUCAAAGUCUAAGAUCUGCUCCACCGCAUCUCCCUCUAAACUAUACUUAUUUUCUAAAAAAAAUUAGCUACGGGUGAGAUCACAGUAUUCUGCCACCCCUUCGAGUAACAGAUCAUAUCCAAGGGUCAAAAAAACUUUCGUAUGGUACACAAUCUACGCUUUCCCAUGCUAGGAGCUGUCUUAUAUAAAUUAUAUCAAAUCAAAGAAUGGGAGAAGUUCAUUAUAAAAACUAAAAAAAAAGAAUGGGAGAAGUUGGAACAAUUGUUUACUGGACUGGCCUUAAUACUAUCUUAGGUCCAAUUGGAUGGACUGUUGGGCUGGUCCAUUUUUGACAGGUGUGGUCAUGUUUAUUGGGCUAUUGCUUCCUGCAUUUUUUUUCUAGUUACUUUUUACAUUUUCUUUUAUUUUUUAAAUGAUGAAUCCAAAAAAGUAAAAUUACAUUCUAGAAUGUAUUUUUUUUUCUUUCCGAAAGGUAAAAAAGAAAAUUCCAAAAAAGUACAAGAAACAACUUGAGAAGUGCAGAAGGCAACAACCUGCUUGUUGUCCAGUGAAUGGAGACGUUUCUUUCUCCUCCUUUUUAUGGUUGGAGUAAACUGUGAUGCAUGCAUCUUGUUUGCACAAGAUUCUCUUGUAGACUAAAAUUUACAAGAAAUUGUUUUAUUUCAUCGAAUGAUUCACAAUGAUACCUUUGCAAGUUACAUCAUUUUACCUCUUCUGGAAAUUGAGGUUUCCAAUGCAAUAAGCAAAUAGAAUGGCAAUUACAAUGGGGAUGACAAUGAGAACAACACCAACUACACCAAGAAAAUCAUGGUGAAACCCAUAAUAAUCCUCCAAAAAUUUGGCAAUUGUUUUCUUUUCUUCAAAGGCUGAAAUUUCUUUGUUUACAUCUCCGUAUUGGGAAGUAAGCAUCCCAUUCAGUGCCCAAGACAUGGGGCAUAAAUAAUACAUCCAAAUCCACCACUUGGGAAUUCGCUGCAAUGAGAAAACCAUCAUCCUUCAGUGUUAGGUUCAAGCAAUAUAAGAAAGGAAUAAAAAAAAAUGCAAACGAUCAUAAUUAGUACAGGUUUUAUGGUACCAUAUCAACAAGAAAAAAAGUAGUGAUGUGAUACUUAGGCUUAGGUGCUAAACAGUUAUUGACCUAUAAUCAAUCCAAUUGUUCUUCUCCACCCUAAGAAAAUUUCAAAAAUUGAAUAUUUGAUAUUAAUUUUUGUCUAUCAGACUCAAAACUCUGGCCCUUACCGCCAUUGUCUUAUGACAAUUACCAUAGCGACCAACACUGACUGUAUGUAUAUUUGAUGAUGAGUUAUAUUAACUAUAUAGUAUCACUUAUAUAAUGUUAAAUUUGAAGGCAUUUAUACAAAUUAAAUUUUCUUAACAAUUAGUCUAAGUCAUUUGCUAGCUAAACCAAAAAAAUGUGUAUUUUGCAUGAAUGCAAAUAUAACAGAAUACAAAUGGCAUUUUAUGAAACUUACUAGUCGUGGUACAAAGUACCCAGAAAAUAAGUUAAGCAUCGUGUAGGAAGAUGAAGCCACGAUAGCAGCCAAUUGAACAUUUGGCGUCAAUGAGACAAUGAGCAUCCCUAGGUAGUUAUAAUAUAAGAUAUUGCAGAACAUGCUGAAGAAUGACCAAAAUAUUUUAUAAGCAGACCAAUCAUAGCUCAACAUAGGAUAUGUGAUUAUCACAUAUACAACAGCUUGAAUGAAUAUAUAGGGAACCUCAAUUAGCACCUACAAAAGAAAUAAAUCCAAGUUACCCUAAAAUUAUUGGAAGAGUCACCUGAAAGCAUAAGCAAUAGAAUCCUUGAGUAAAUGCAAUCCUUAAUGUGCUCCAAUUACAGUGAAAAUAUAAUACUACCACCAUUCUAUAUAUAAGAAAUAAACAAGUUAUGUAUACUGGAGGCAGUAUUAUUUAGCUAGGAGAAAAAAUGGACAACAUUUUCUUGAUGAAUUAAAAUAUUUGGAAAUGAAUGGUGAAUUCAUAAUUUACAGAGAACUAAACCUGUGCAAAAGAAUAGGCCCAGGGAGAGUACAUUCCAGCAAAUCUUUCACGGUACAGAACAGUGCGCUCUGUUGCCACAUAUGGUAAAACUGUUGAGCAGUUAUUUAUCCCAAAGAAUAGUGCAGCAGAGUACAUUGCACCAAAUACAUUGAACACAUCUUGUUGGCUAUUUCUGUGAAAUAAGAAAAAAAAAUAGAGUUAAUUACUAUCAACAUUUUUGUAAUUUACUUUUAUUACAUUGGUGAUCUUUUCUAUUUUACAUUACUUUUAAUCUCAUCUGUUAAUUUCAUGAAAUUUUCGUUAGUAAAUCUAAUAACAGAAAAAAACAUUCAUUUAUGAAAGAAAAAAAACAAAAGCAAAAGAAAAUGAUAUUUAAAUAGUGACAUGAAGAAUUUUGUUGGCAGCCAUUCUAAUAUUUAAUUACAUGUAAUUUUUUAGGUUUACUUAAUUGAAUUUUAAAUCUUACUCAACUUGUUGAAUUUUAAUGUGAAUUAUUUUACACACAAAUACUUCUCAGCAGCCAUUUUAAGGUGUGGCGAUUAUGAAGUUAAAAGGAAUGAAUAAAUACAUUUUGGACAAAGAAAAUUCAUUAAAAAUUAUGUAUCCCUCGUGUCACAGUCUCGAACUAACAUUUCUCAUAUCUAAAAAUAUCAAAGGGUGAUCAGUGAAAAAUUAACAAUUAGGAUACUUUUUUAGGAUUAAAAAAAUAAUGAUGUCCAGUGUAAUAAAAAACAAACCACUAUGUGCUUAUUGUUAUUUACUAAAAAAUAAAUAAUCAGCCCCUUUAGCACAAGAUUUUUCAAUAAAUAAAAACAAAUCAUUUUUUUAGAGGAAAUACAAAUCAUGUUAAGAGUAACAAUCUAUUUUUCUUAAAUGAUUAGUAUAAUGCAGCUUUAGUUUUACAACGUGAAACUCAUUUGACAUGUUAGGAAAAAAUUAGUAUGAACAAAACAAUCUAUUUUUCUUAAAUGAUUAGUAUAAUGCAGCUUUAGUUUUACAACCUGAAAUUCAUUUGACAUGUUAGGAAAAAAUUAUUAUGAACAAUUGUUUGUUUUUUUUGUUAAUGGAGACAUAAGUAGAAUAAAAUUAUGAUCACUAACAUUUUCUUUCCUUGCUUCCAGAACAGUAUCCCAAACAGAAGAGAUGAGACAGCCACAAAAAUGAUGCGCAUCAAGUUGUAUGAAGGACUUCUCCAAUAGGACAAAUGUUGUUUCCACAAGCAUGCUUUAAACUGUUCCCAACCAUUUUGUGGAAAAUGAGAUGGAAAAUAUAAAUCUCUGGAGUUUGGAGGUGGUGAGCUUAAUUGCUCAACUAACUCUUUGUUCUGUCUGCACUCACAAGAGUAAAUAAAUACCAUGUAAGAUCAUAUACAUUAUAAAUACUCCACUAAAAGGCAAAUUUUAAAUUCCUAGGAUCAUCAUUUGCCAGGAUUUAUAUGAUAUUGGAUAUACAUGGUUAUGUAGAUUGAGCUAUUAGUUUUCUUAUUUAUUUAGGAUUUUAAAUUCACAUUUAGGUUUUCAAUUCAAGAUUGUUUGUUGAUCGGAAAUUUUAUUGUAUCUUGGGUUAUCUUAUUCUAGCAUAAAACAAGAAUAAGUCAUUAGGGUGAUUGGAUACGUUGGUCUAUAAAUGAACUUUCAAUGUAAACAAUUAAGAGAUUUUUUAUUGUUAUGUGAUAUUGAAUUUCCUUUAUUGAAAGAGUCGAAGGAGCAAUUAUCCUAAUUGAAUACCCUAGCCCCUAAGUUUAUCAAGGGAAUAAGUACAUAGUGAAGAAGAAUUCUCUUGGAUUGUUUUAUUCUAGCAUGAUAACUGAAUAUCGUUUGCUUGCAUUAUUUUUACCGAGUUUGGGCUUAAUAGAGAUAUUAUAUAGGACCAAAAACUGGAGGAAAUUAGUAGUCACCAAGAUUUAUGUUUCAAAUUUUUGUAUAAACUCAUAAAAUAUUAAUCCAUCAAUCUGUUCGUGCUGGUUAUAUAUACUAUAUACUACUACCUAGAUUUAUUUUGAACAACAAACUAUAAUCAAAUAAUUUUUUCAAGCAGUGGCACAUAAAUAAAAUUCUCUGUGAUUACUUACUCAUAUAAGGUUGACUCCCUAUAAAUUUGGGCGAAGUCUAUUCCGAGUUCAGCUUCUGCAGAUCUUGAAGUAACUUCUAGCAUCCAUGUUGAUGGAUUAUAGUUGUCUUUAAUCUUUGGCACUCCUGGUAUACUCUAUAUAACAAAAUUUGCAAGAAUGUAAACCAAGAUUUUGCAAUCACUCAUUUUUUCCUGAAGAGUAGUACCAAAACUAACAUUUGUGACGAAAAAAAGUUGGGUAUGAUAAACUUAUAAGAAAACUGACCUCAAAGUAUUCAAUGACCCUACUUGAGUGCUUCCCAAGUGGGCCAGCGUAGGUUAAGCGACCUCCAGCUUUCAUGAGAAUAAGCUUAAAGGAUUACAAGACAAGAACCAUAAUUAGUAUAAUUAUGAAUUAGUAUUGUACCAUCCCUUAAGAGAUUGAACAAUAAGACAAGCAUUCUAAAUGCUAAAGUAUAGACUUUUUCUUCAAGCAUAACACAUUUUCAGUGUUUAUUGCAUAAUAAAUGUAUGCUGAAGAUGAAUAUAGAAAGCCAUAGCUUCAUGGAUAUUAGAAGUGGCUCUACUAAAUCCCAUUCUUUCUUUAUUAAAUGAGCAUUUAUAGGUAAUUGAGAUACAUCAUCAAGGAACUGAAAUUUUAAAUGCCACAAAAUUAUGAUUUAUGUCUCCCAAAUUGAUGUUAGGUUCUUUAUCUAAUUAAGGAUGUAGAUAAUAUUAAAGAACUACAAAGGGUCCUUUUAAGAUGUUGCAUAGUAACAUGAUUUUGUAACUAUCAAACAUUUUCCUGGAAAAAAAUACAUUUUAUUUGACCUGUGAGAAAUUCAAUAAAUGGGCUCAAAGGGACUUUCAUAACCUCUUGGUUCAUUAUAUAUGCAAAAUCUUAAGGGAUUGUAUUUUACCUCAUCAAAUGCCUCAAAUAUAUCAAUACUUGGCUGGUGAAUGGUGCAUGCAACAGUUCUUCCAGUUCCAACAACAUUCUUCACUGCUCUCAUUACAACUGCAGCUGCCCUUGCAUCUAGACCUGUAGUCGGUUCAUCCAUAAAUAUGAUUGAAGGAUUAGCAACAAGCUCAACGGCUAUGGUCAGCCGUUUUCUUUGUUCAGUCGAUAAACCACUAAUAUUCGGCAUGCCUACUAAAGAAUCUUUGAUUCCAUCAAGCUCAAUAGUAUGAAUGACUUCAUUUACAAAUUCCUGAAAAAUGAUGGAAGCCAUAAGAAGAAAUGAAUCACAGCGAACAAUCUCAAAAAUUGAAAAUAGCAAUGCGGCAUUGGGAAGAGAAUCAUACAGCUUUAGUUUUUGCAUCAAUUUGAGAAGGAAGCCGAAGCCAAGCAGAAAACAUCACAGAUUCUUCUACUGUUAUAUUUGGAGAAUGUAUGUCAUUUUGUUCACAGUAACCUGAUACUCUAGCAAAUGUUUCCUGAACCUUCGGGUAGCCGCCGAUUCUAAUCUCUCCUUCUAUAAUACCACCAGUUUUUCUUCCACACAGGACAUCCAUCAAAGUUGUUUUCCCUGCUCCACUGACUCCCAUCAAUGCUGUUAGGAUGCCAGGUCUGAGUGAACCUGUGAUAUCAGAAAGAAGCUGAAGUCUUUUCUCAGUAAAACCUCUAUUUCUCAUUUCCUGCAUUCAAUAUCAUAUAAUUACCCAACCAUGUCCUUGGAUGUAACUUCAUACUUAAGAACUAGCAAUAUUUUAAAUCAUAUAAGUUACCAAAGGGGAAUCAACAUAGUACUGGACAUCAUGAAAUGCUACUGCUAGUGGCUGGAAUGGUAGAACCAGUCCUCCUGGGAAAAAUAGAGAGAAAGAAAAGAAGAAUAAGCAUUGUUUUAACCGAAGAACUUGUGCAUGUGUAUGUGUGUCUAUAUAUAUAUAUAUAUAUAUAUAUAUAUAUAUUCAAGAUUUACAAUUAAUAGUAAAUCAAAAUAUAAAAGAUAAUGUCAUUGGUAGAUUACAUGUUUAGCUGAACCAAAAAAUCACACUUGGAUAAGACAGCUGCUCACCUUUUCUGGUUUGUACAGUACUUCCAACCAUAGAACCAACAUGUUUCUUGUCAGCACCAACGCUACCAUAACUUUCUUGUUGUCCUUGUAAUUCUGAGUGCUUCUCAGAAGAUAUAAGAGUUCGAGAUCUUGCAGGAGCUGAUGGAAGAAUGCCAAAGUGAAGGUUAACAUAUAGGUCUAAAGGCAUUAUUAUUCAUCACUUGACAUGCCCAAGUAAACAAUGAUAGAUGAACUUACAAUUCAAGAAAGUCAACAUCAAGGUAAAACCUACAUUAAACAGCACUGUGAACCCAAUUAAGGCAGCAAUUGAUAUCCAAUAAAAGUAGCCGUCAAAGUUUAGUCCCCGACUUUCAAGUACUUGCUGGCCCAAUGUUCUGUUUCCAGACAUCUUCAAUAAGAACAAAUAAACCAAAGUGAUUAGAUGAGUCACAUUUUCUAGAAGUGAUAAAGAUGAGGAGUUUUAUUAUUGAAUUGAGUUGCCAAAACUACAUAACAUAUAACUUUAUUGACAGUUUUUUGUAUGCCUUCAUAUAUUUGAGUACUCUCAGUUAAAUCAGAAAACUUAGCAGAAGUAAAAGAGGGGAAAGGUGUUUUAAUUUGAGCCUUUAAAUUAUUCUUGACCAAAUGAAGCUAACUGGUCAACUCAUAUCAUAAACAAAAAGGGAUAAAGUAGCUAUGCCACCACUUUUAGUUGCAUGCAAUGUAUGUUCUUUGAAGCACAAAAAUUAAGAGUUAUACAUGAUUACCUUUUCCCACCUAGGAGCAAGAAAUUCAUUCACAGUUAAGCCUAUCUCUCCAUAUGUCAAAGGAGAAACCCAAAAUCCCCACUGCAACCAAGAUGGCAUAUAUGCUGCAAUGGAAAAGCAACUAAUCUUUAUCUUCUGAACACAAUUCUCUGUUAAAAGUAAAUCAGUUCUGGAUUCUUACGUUUUGGAAUGAUGAAGCCACCAAAUAGUAAAACAACUAGUAUGGUCACAGUACCAGCUGUCACAGAAGCAACCACAGUUUGGCAAACUGAGGCAAUGAAUCGAAACAUGGAUACCGAAGUCACAUGUAUGAUAAAUAAGAGAAGGAACUGGCGAAAGAACCUGAAGAAAAAAUUGGUUAAUAUGCCAGAAAUCCCAAAACAGAGUUUUUAUAGUAAAGAAACAACACAAAUCAACUAUAUCCCAUAGAUUCUCCAUGGAGUCAGUCUUCUUGUAACCAAGAAUAAACAAGAAGCCUUUAGCAUCAUUGUAAACAAAUCAUAUUAAUUGUGUUAAAUUCUAGAGACAAAGGCAAUUUUAAAUGUAGGACUUUCUUGUACCUAAUGAUUAAUGAGUAUCAAGUGUUAUGUAUGUAAAUUUACUCACAUAUCUAACAAGACACAAGUGAAAAAUCUGGGAACAAAGUUAGCAUUCCAUCGAAGACUAACCUGCCAAUCUCGGGGCUGUAACCAAUGACAUAAUAAGAAAGUGUUGUCCAAAUGAAAGAUUCCAACAAUGAAAGAGGAAUCUUUAAAACAGCAGAUGGAAUUGUAUAAGCCCAGGCAGGAAAAAAACACAACUCUUUUUGCUUGUAAAUCACUGCAAGUCUUGAUACAGUCAUAGAUAGUUCUGGAAAUCCAUCAACGAGAAGUAUGAUGAGUGAAUAAAACAAUGAACCCAUAAAAUAAUUCCCAUGGAGCACAUCAACAGUCAUUCGUGUUCGAAUGAAAACAGUCAUUGCUACAAAUGCAACAAUGACAAGCUGCAUUGAUAAAGAAUACAAGUUAGAAACUUUGAGAAGUUUUGUAUAGUUAUCAUGGCAUGAAGUCAUGAAAGUAAAAAAAAAGGAAGACAAAAUACCUGUGUUGACUUGAAUACAUAAACAAAAGAGUUUUUUUUCAUUAGAAGAAUUUCCCUCAUCAUGCAAGCGUUAAAUAAUUCCCAUUUUGUUAAUGAGUAUUUUUUAAAUACAAGGGCAUUCUUGUGGCUCUGAGACUUAUCAAAUGGCUUCGAGAGCUCCUCCUUCAGCUUUAGACCAAAAGGGCAAUCCUUAAAUUUCUCAAUGAACUGGUCAAUUGAAACAUAACUGUAAGGUUUUUCUGUGCUAUUCCAAUACUUUGCUUGAUCUUUCUUAGAGAUAACCUGGAUUUUGCAAGCAUUUCAUAUGGUCAAAAUGUAUACAAUAUCAUGUUAGAAAUGGAGAUACACAAUUGGGCUUAACAUACUUCUUGAAGAAAGUCAGCAGUGCCUUUUCUUUGUGGGCAUUUAAACCCACUGUCCUCAAAGAACUCAAGUAUAUAAUCACACGGUCCGUGGUACACAAUUUUCCCUUCAGCCAUCAAAAUAACAUCAUCAAAGAGAUCAAAGGUCUCUGGUGCUGGCUGAAGGAGUGAAAUUAAUGCCGUGGCAUCUGUGAUAUGCACCAGAUGCUGAAGACAAGAGAUAAUCUGGAAAGUAGUGGAGCUGUCUAAACCAUUGGAUAUUUCAUCCAUAAAGAGUGCUUUUGUUGGUCCAACAAUCAUCUCUCCUGUACAAUACUCCAGAAUCAGAAGCAUGAUAACUUCAUACAUCAACUAAUUCUCUAAAGGUGUAUAAGUUUGAUAAGCUAUUAUUUUGCAGUAUAUAGCAGUAAUACCUGUAGUUAACCUUUUCUUUUGACCACCAGAUAUACCUCUUCUUAUAGGAUCUCCAACCAAUGUGUCAGCACAUAUAUCAAGACCAAGUAUCUGCAUGUCAUUGUAAUAGUCAAUAAACAAUAAUUGAACAAAUAUGUAGUGGAGAAAAUGAUUUACAAGCCAGUGAUACUGUAGCUUCAUGGAGAAAAUGAGUAGACUACCUUUAAAAUAUAGUCGGUCUGAAGGCUGCUCUUGAGUCCGUUAAUUGAUGUUGCCUGUACAAAAAACAUUGCUUUUGAAGUAAUAGUCAUCAAGACUCGGGACAACAAAUUUGCACAAAGGCUUUUGAAGGACUAAAUUGAAUUACAAAGUCAUGCCCCAGUUAUCCUACUGACAGUAUAAACAAAAAUAACUAUUGUAAGUUUUUCUGAAAACAAUAGACACCUAUCAUACUGGAAUUCAGGUUUAAAAGAGUGAAAUUGGGUAAAGAAAACAAUCAUAACUUUCUCAGAACUAAAGCUAGAUAAGUUUUAAAUGUGGACUUAGGGCUUAACUCAACACUACAAAACUAAAUUAUAAGGUGAGCAUUGCCCAAUCUUUAUAAGUUAGUUUUGUAGUAUUGAGUUAAAUACCACCCUUGAGGCUGCAGUUAAGGCAGUCCCCAAGAGGUCACAAUUAAGGCUGGUUAGGACUUAGGAGUGACUGCAAUUAAAGUAGAUUUCCAACAAUAAGUUUCUCAUUUUAAUAAUUUUUUAUUAUAGAAUUUGGUGUAUUAAGGUUUAGUUAGAUGAAAAUGCUGACAUUACUAAGGAGUCCAUCAUUUCUGUCAUGUUUGCGUGACCAACAAAUGUUCUUUUGCUAUAAUAUAGCAGAAUAAUUUAUUACUUUGGCAAAUAUUUUCUAACAAUUAUUAUAUUUUAUCAAGUGAAGAAACAGGAUAAGCUGCAUUUAUUUAUUUAUAAUAAACAAAUGAAAACAGUUAAGCUUUAUUCGUUAUUAUUGGGAUAUUUUUUAUUGAAGCAUAAAAUUGAAUAAAACUUGGAGGUGGAUAAAGCAAAGAUGUGCAGGACAGUACCUUCAUAUAUGCAUCUAAAUCUGGGUCUGGGACUAUUCCUCCCUCUUUCUCCUUUCUACUGACUUCCAUCAGGAGUUCUUUCAUACAUGGAGCAAAAUUCAUCACUCAUCUCUAAAGCCAAUUUAUGAAAUUUAUUUAAUUUUUAACUUUAAGUGUACCUACUGGAUCGGCUUCCUACGCCUUGACAACGUGCUGAGAAAUCAAGUGUUUCCCUCACAGUCAUCUCUGGAAUAUGCAGAUCAUAUUGGCUUACAUAUGCUGAGGACUUCUGAGGAAUGAAUUCUUCUAGCAUGUGUCCAUUGUAAGAAAUUUCCCCUUGAACCUAUCAAAAAGCAAUAAAGGGAAAAACUCUUUCUAACUUGAAGCAGUAGUCAAUUUUUGAAAUGUAUAAUAAAUUAAAUACAAAUAUUGAGUUUAUUCUGUCUCAUGCAUAAAUAAUUUCAUUAUGAAUUCAAGGGACGGGGGUAGCCUUGUUGGGAACUUGGGAUGACUUCAUCUUUAGUUUAAUAUUGGAUAUUGGCAAGAAGUCAAAAUAAAAAUAUCUAAUAGUAAUGAGCAAUGAGCAUUGAAUAUAUAUGCCCACGGUUUUCUCAUUGGAAAUUUUGAAUGUUUAACUCAAUUUUUGAGAAGUGGAACUAAGGUUUCUCUCUUUCCCGCAGAGAAAGAAUGUCCACUCUCAAUCACUAAGUUGUUGUUUCCUUUUUAAUUCACUCAUUUUUAGAAUUAUCAGUGUUAUACUGAAUCUAGAUUGAAACAUUUGUGCCCGAAGACUCCAUCCAUGACAAAGCCCCAUAUCGUCUAGAAGAGAUGACAAUCACUCCAGGGCUUAUCAUAAAAAAGACUUUUUGCAGCUGUAACACUCAUACCUUUCUCGGCCUUUUGGCUAAGAUCAAGUGUAGUAUCUGUUCUUAUCAGUUUAAUAUCUGAUAUGUGGGCCAUUGGUCCACACGAUAUUAAAUUACUUUUUUAAAGGGGAGAGGCCAACACAGUAGCUUGCUAUUGGGUCUCUCGUGUGUCGUCCAUGCGUUGCACUAUAGCUUGGGCCUGGCACACCCUACGUUUAGUCAAAAUUUUGUAAUUUAGAUUACUAUUAGGUAGUCAUUGUAUAUGUUUGUAACUAGGCUUUGACGUGAGUGGCUUAGUUUGUUGGGUGUUCUGAAAAUGAAAUUUUAGUAGCAUAAAAACUAGUCAUAGGUAGAUGUGCAUUGAAUCCAAUUCUCUUUCUUUAGGUACCUCUCUUGAACACCUAAUAUUUAGAGUAAGUUGAUCUAUUUAUAAUGCUACAAUGUUAGAAGUUACAGUAGCAUCCUGCACGCAUUUAAGUCAGGAUUUUUAAAUUUACUAGGAAAAAACCGUGAGAUUGAGAACCUUGAGAGAAUGGCCAAGUUUUCCUGCCAACGCCAACAAUAAUGUUGUUUUACCACUUGCCGGUGGGCCAAGCAGUAAGGUCAUCCUGCAACGGAAUAAAAGCACAGCAAAAGAAUCAUUAUACAUGAAUUGUUACAUUCCAAUCUUUACACCAUACUGAAUAUAAGCUAACAUCAAAUACAGUCAAUAAAUAUUCCAAAUUCCAAAUGAGGCAACAAAUACUAACUGGCAGUAUUAAACUUAGUAUAGCAUACCUUCCAGGCUUAAUAAUUCCAUUGGCACUUUUGAUGAUGCUUAUCUUGGAAUUUUGAGAUUUCAGAACUGGCAAUUUAGUGGUGUCCUUUCGAGAAAAUAAGAGAAGCAAAGUAAUAAACAAAAAAGACAAGAAAAGAAGUAUAUCCAAAUAUUGAUAAUUUUAAGAAAAGUUAUUCAGAGUAAAAAAUAAAGGAAGUUACUUACAAAGAUCCAUUCUUUUAGGGUAUUCCACAGUGUAGGUAUGGGCUUGCCUUGGACUAUCUUACACUCAGCUUCCACACACAGGUUUUGGUACCUCAGUUCCACUGUGGGCAAAUUAAUACCAACUCUACAGAGCAAAAUAAUGAACAAAAGUUUAUUAACCAUAUUCAAAUUUACAAGAUAAAUUAUCACUCUGCUGGGUAUUUAGAGGUUUAGUGAACACCAUUCCACCAUAUAUUAUGACACUAAAAUUCAUCUAUUAACACAUGAAACUUACACGCCAAAUACUUAACUAGAUGAAAAUGUGUUUUUUCUGUGCCGUUAUAUUUAACUUUUUAUUUUAUCCUUUUCCAUGACACAUUUGAGCUAGACUUAUAUUGUAAAUAAAUAAUAAUUUGGUUGACUUCUAACAUGAUUAAUAAUUUAAUAAAACUUAGUGAAACAUCUCCAAGCAACACGAGCUAUAAAGGGAAAGAGAAAGAGUAGUGAAACUAAGAGAAAUUGUUACUUGUCAAUUCUGUUCCUGAAUUUCUGCAGCAAUCGAAGAUUAUCAUUCUCAAUGUGUUUAAUAAGCUUCUCUAUGAACAUGUGCCGUUCUUGAGCUCCAAGCUUGCUGACAUCAACAACCUGUUUCCCUUCAACUUUCUCACCUGUUUCCAUGCCAUCAUAAACAUCAAACAAAGCUGAAGUAAUUCUCUCAAAGGUGGGUAGCCUCUGAAUUUCAGCCCAUUGUAACGCUUCUCCGGCGUUGUUAUCAACUUCUUGUUGCACAGGAUUGAUGCUUGAAACGCUCUGGAAACUAGAGGCAUGACUUCUAAAUGAGGACCUUAUGCUCCUUCCUAUCUCUGCUAACUCAUUUCUCAGAGACUCUAUCUCAUCCGCACCUGCCAGCUGUGCCAUCUCAACACAACACUAAGGGGAUUAAAACUCAGAUAUGUGUGGAAUGCAUCAUAUUUUGAUCCUCUUCUGAACAUUAUAUAGAAACUUCCAUGCUGUGUUUAUAAGCUUGAUAUUGGCCUCUUUGAUGAUGCAAUGCAUUUUGUCAUGUGAAUGGGGAAUUGAACAUGCUGUUAAGGUAUCUAAUGAAAAGGAAUACAACUACAAACCUUUUUUAUACUAUUAUUGUAACUGAGCUUUCACUGAUACAUUAAUUAAUCACCAAAGUCCAUGCUGAGACAUGAUUGAAAAUAUUUUAGUAAGAAACAGGAAGGUAUACGUGGUCAGAAUUUAAUAAGAGCACGCAAGGAUAUAUCAAAGUGGCAUGGUUCAUUCCUUUUCUACUUCAUUUUGUGAAGCAACAAGCUUCUAGCCUGUUGUUCAUAUACAACAAAAGAUCUGAGUUCUAAACUCUAUCAAGCUCCCUUCUAUUGUCUCCAAUGUGAAUAGGGGCCAUUUUAUGGAAUAUCAUGCUGUUUAAUAAUAAAAUUCCAGUGUCUUGUUAGGGAAGUCUAAGGUAGAAUAUUUAUAUUAUAUAGUGGUCCCUUUGCCCUUGGUUCUUGAAGGAAUACAUACAUAUUAUGUAAAUUUGUUGCGUAAUGGAUUUCAAAACGACAUUGAACUCGUGACUCAUGGUAAUAAUUAAGCUGUAACAUAAUACCUAAGAAUACUAGCCAAAAUUUUAUUAGUGACAGUAGGCUUAGGUGCUACCUAAUGUGGGGGGCACUGGACCAAGAAAAAAAAUAAAAAAGUGCUAUGUGGGGCACGAGAUUUCUCAUUAAAAGAGAAGUCAAAUCAAACUUGGUCUUUAUUUGGAUUUUCACUUGGUUACGUUAUACAUCUCCGUUUUAUUCAACUAGAAGAGUAUCCUUGAGACUACCUAUCAUACAUAGUAGCUACUUAAUGCAUAACAGUAGAUGAGAGGUUGGAAUCCGUUAAUGUUUUUUUAUGUUCCUGACACUUAUGAUGUGUUGCAUGUCUUGUUGAGGAAGAAAGGGAGAAUCCCCCGUUCUACCAUAGUGAAAAAGUUACAAAUGUUUAAAUGAUAGCUUGUGGUUGUAUUAGCUGAAAAGAAUUUGUUAGCGCAAAAUUUAAUUAAAAAUGGUGUAUUAGUUGAAAAGAAUUUGUCCGUGCAAAAUUUAAUUUCAUGUUAGCUAGCUUGUGGUUUUUUAUUUCUACAAAUAUUUCAUUUACAAAAUGUAACAUUGAUUAUUAUGGUGUGGCGAAAAUGAUUUGUAUUAAGUCCAAAAACAGCAUGCUUGAUAUCAAUGUAUUUGAUUUUGUUGUCAAAUUUGCUACUGUAGAAGGUUUGAGGUAAACAAAUUGACAUGAUCCUUCAUGUGUGCAUCUUUGCAGUGAAUUUGAAUGGAAUCUUUUUCUUUAAGACUUGGAGAGCUGAGGAAGGUAGCUUCAGAUUACUCGUGUGUUAACUGGGUCAUGAAUCCGUGAUCCAACGUUUGAACAAGAGCAAAAUCUGAAUAGAAGAGAAAGGCUGUUGCAGAAAUACUAGUGAUGAAGUCUCACAUUGCUGAGAAGAGAAAACAAUGACCUGAUAUUUUAUUAUAAAACACAACUCUGGAGCCUUAACAACUCAUACCUUUCUCGGCCUUUUGGCUAAGAUCAAGUGUAGUAUCUGUUCUUAUCAGUUUAAUAUCUGAUAUGUGGGCCAUUGGUCCACACGAUAUUAAAUUACUUUUUUUAAGGGGAGAGGCCAACACAGUAGCUUGCUAUUGGGUCUCUCGUGUGUCGCCAUGCGUUGCACUUUAGCACGGGCCUGGCACACCCUACUUCUCAGUUUAAAGAUGUGCACUGAAUUAAUUGUUUUUCUGUUUAUAUGGCCAAGCUGAAUGAAAAAUUAAGUCAUAGAGAACUAUGUUUCUGAAGGUAGUAAUCUUAAAACCCAUUUCUAGGUCUACAAUUUUAGUGAAAGUCAUAAUUACCGUAUAGUAAUGGUACACGGACACAACCCUUUCCAUGAGCCAUCAGAUAUUGUUAAAACAGGAUGAAAGUAGAUCAAAUACAAAGGUAAACCUAUUUUAGUACAAAGUAAGAUACUGAAUUUUAUUAGUUCUUUGCAUCAUCGUGGCAUAUACGACUCAGCCAAAAAAUUGGGCGUCCAAAUCGGAGACAAUAACCCAUAAUUUGCUUUAGUUACCGUAGGUUUUAGUGCUGUGUGGUGCAUGAGAUUUAUCGGUAAAAGAGAUCUCUAAUAAACUCGGUCAAUUGGUAUUUCACUUGGUUCUAUGUUCUUCAAAAAAUUAAAACAUAAAAUACAUCUUUUGUCACAUGAUGCACAUAAAUUCAUAUAAGGAAUUGAUAUUUGGUAACCAGUUGAAAAUCAGUUGCCAGUACUGCAUUUGACAAGAGGAACACUGGUCUUUUUGCCUAACAACCACCAGUAAAAAUAAAUGGUGGGCGGCUGAAGUGCUAGAAGAGGAUCCACUGAGACUCGGACAGAAUACCUAUGUCAUCCAAACAUCAACUUAAUUUGGCUCAGUUUGAAGUUGAAAAUUCAGUAUUUCCACAGCACCGCUCUUACUCUUGACCUUCAAAAUUCAAUGAACACCCUAGCCUAAAUAAACUUGAUCGCUAAUGUGAUUUAGACAGAUCAAAGGUUGUCAUCCAUGCAACUAAUUUCAGUUUCUCUCUCGAUAAUAAUACUGAAAUCUAGAUAUCUUAUAAUUAAGUACAUUACAAAAGCAUGUACCCAUGUAUAGUUUGGAGCACUAGCAACACUUUCUAAUCCUGUCAUCAAACAUAGCCUCCUUCAGACAAGGCUGGUAAGCAGCAGGAAUGAAAGGCAGCACUUCAAUAUAACAUGAGCUCUAAAUUGACAAAAAUAAACUAAUAAACUCUACUAUCAGUUCAUUAAAUCUGUACACCAAAAGCUGCAGAUGUUAAGUUCUUUUCUGCGAAUCAAAUGGAUGCUAAAACAUAAAUUUAACUUGAACAACAUACAGAAGUUAGGCAGGACUAGCUGUCAUUCAUCGUGAAAAAUGAAGUUUGAUAGCACAACUCAGCAACUGGUCACUCCAUGUCAAAACAAAAAUUAACAGCCGCUCCCGGAAAAUGGAGGUAUAGAAUACAGAUGCAUUAGCAGUCUGAACUAUAAAUCAAAAAUCAAAUCAAGAUUUCAUUCUCAAACUGGCUAACUUUUUUAUCAUCAGUCAUCAUCGUCUGCUUUUCCUGCUCCAAAUAGUAUAUCUUGUCAUUCAUACCCUCUUUUCUAUAUGCCUCGAUCAUGAUCGUGUAUGUUGUGUCAUCUGGCUGACACUGGCUAUCUUUCAUACGCUUGAAAACUCUCUCCAUUUCCAUCAAAUCCUCUGCCUUUGCACACGCAGAUAAGACCGCAUUAUAAAAGGUGAUAUUCUCAGGUAUCUCGAGCUUUCCAGCCAAGCGAACACUGCUAAUUACUUUAUGGAAGAGACCAGCAUUUGCAUAACCAUUGAUAAGGCAGCAUAAAGUUUUGGUAUCUGCUUUCAUACCCUCAGCACGCAUCUGAUCAAAUGUACAUUCCAUGUGCUUCGCAUCACCUGCAUCUGCAAAUGCCUCAAUCACAUUGUUGUAAGUAGAGGUCGUCCAUGGAAAUUGCAACUUACGCAUAUACUCCAUAACAGAUGACAUUUUGUCAUACAUUCUUUUCUUCCCAUAGGCACCGAUCAAAAUAUUAAAAGUGCGCGUCUCUGGUUCUAUCCCAAAAUAACGGAAUUUUUCAUACCAUUUUUCCAUCAUAUCAAUCUGACCCAUGUUACCAAAAACACUGAUGAUUGUGUUCAUUGUCCAAACAUCAGGCUUGCAUGUAGUGCUCAGCAGCAUGCUGGACAGUACUUUCUCCAUCUGAUCAAACAUGCCCGCCUUGCCAUAACCACCCAAAACAAUGUUCUGAGUGACUGUGUUUGGCAUGAUAGACCUUUCAGCCAUUUCUUCAUACAGCAACUCAACCAAAUCAAAUUUGAAAGCAUCGACACAAACUUUGAUCAAGGUACUGUAAGUGAAAACAUCAGGCUGGCAACGAGGAAGCUUCUUCAUCUCAUUAAGAACUGAAAACGCCUCAUCAAUCAUGUUGCUCCUGCAAUACGCAGCGAGCAACGCUGUGUACAGUUCAGGAGUAGGUUCUAAACCUUCUUCAAUCAUUGUGGUAAAAAGCUGAUGGGCACGGUGGGGUUGACCAGAUUUUCCAAGCAACACAAUGAGUUUCAUGUAAGUCCCUUCUUUGGGUUGGUAAAAGGUUUGCUCUCUAAGCAUAUCAAAUACCUGUACAUUUAAGUAGAUUUCUUACCAAUAGGCACAGUCCGUCAUCUGAAUUUUUUGUUUUAAACAUUUAAUUUUGGUCCCUUAAAUUGUGUUCAUUAAACCAAAAGUUGAUAUUUCCAUCAAUUUACCAUACCAAUUUGGUCAAUAGGUGAGACAUUGAAAAAUUAACAUUAUUCGUAAAGGACCAUUUUGGUCUAACGGAAGCACUUUAAGAGGCAAAAUUAAAACUUUUUAAACUUGGGAUACCAAACUAAAACCGAUAAGAAACCAAAAUGACCUCAAAUUGGUUUCAUAUAGAUAUAGUGAAAAGGGUGAAGUGAGAGAGAGAGGAACCUGGAGGGCCUGAAGCCAGUGUUUGUUGUGGAUGCGUUCGGAUAAGGAUUCGGUGACAGUGUUGACCCAUGCCUUGGCAUCGUUCUUUUUGUCGAAUUUCUUCUUGAGGUUCUUAAGAGGGGUCUUCCUCCUAGUGUCGUUGGGGAAGGAUGGUUGGGAAGUAGCAGGAAACUCCCCUUUUUUCCAGUGUCGCUUUUUGACGGCGGGAGCUGAAAUGCCAAAGCGAAUGAGAGGGAAAGUAGGCUGAUGAUGGCUGUGGGUUUUGUUGGAUUUGUCGUGGGGAAUUCGAGAGGGGACGAUGCAAGAACAAAAAGACAAAGACAUGGAAGCCAUAGCCACCCACAGAUAGCUAUAGAACAAGACUGCACUUCAAAUCACCAUUUUCUCCUCCAAAUGACAAUUAAACGGAUUUUAAAAGGAUUUUUAGUCACCUUUUUUAAUUUGAUUUUUUUAGAUGAUUAUUUUUAAGUUAAAAUGCAAUAUUUAUCUCCUUAUAUUUUUAUGAAUUAUGUAAUUUUCGGUUUUCUAUUAAAAAAUAAGUUAAAUUUUAGAUUUUAAAAGUUUGAUUUUUUUCCAAACGAGAAUCAACUCAUUUAAUCACUGGGAUAAAAGAUGCGAUUUUGGAGUCACUAAAAUAUAGAUUUCAUUUCAAUUUAAAAAAUGAGUUAUAUUUUAGAUUUUUAAUUUUUUUAAACGAGAGUCAACCCAUUUAACCCGUUGGCUAAAAUGUGUCAUCGCGAACUUGCUAAAAUAAAUUUCAUUUUAAUUGUGGGCUUCACGUAAUACGGAAAUAAACGGAUUUAUAUACAUAUCUAACUUUACUUAUUGUUAAGUGAUAACCACCUGACAUCCACGUUAAUAAUUAUGUAAGUUAUCAUAUCAUUGACGAAUUUAACAUAACAUUUACGUAUAAUUUUUUUAAUAAAUUAUAUUCUUAAUUUCUUAUCUUUUUACAAAAUCUACUUUCGAUUUUCAUUAAUUUUUAUUCACAUUUUUUUAAUUAGUACAAAUCAAAGACAUACAAUAAAAGAUUUAUGAUUAAAAAAUUUACAAUAACUCAUAUCCUUCUUCGAACAACCAAACCACACUCCUCCAUAUAGUAGAUUUACUAUUAUUACUCUUAAUCCCUUAGGCCUCAACAAUUAUGUUGGUUAUUAUUGUUUAUAAUUUCCAAUACUAAGCAAUGAUGCGAGUGUACACAUUCAGAAGGAAGAGAAGACAAAUAAAUAUGAUUAGACAUAUAAUAAUGUAAUGAAAGGGAGAUAAAAAGCUACUACUGAAUCAAGUGGAGUGGUGAAGAUGCUUAUUUGGAAGCACUCGUGAAGAAUGCUUAUUUCAAUGACUCUCAUUGGGUUGGAAAGCGAAGCAUUUUCAUCUUUGAAAACAGAAUGGUAAACUAUUUAACUUGUUAUUGUAGACUACUACUUUUGCUUAGUAUGUUUUGUGUGACACCGGAGAAGCACUGAAAGUAAAAAAAUCAUACAGUAAUAAUUACAUUCUUUAUGACUACUACUAUAAUACUAACUUUAAUAAUGGUAAUAUAUAACAUGAAUUAAAAGUACAUUAUGUAAACCAAUAAAAUAUGUAUUUAAAGAUAUAUCAAUUUCUAACUAUAAAGCAUUAUAAAUAAAUUAUUUUAUUGAAUUAAAAUUUAUUUUUUUAUUUUAAAUAUAAAUUAUAAUAAAUAUAUUUUCCAUUAUAUAUGGAUGUUUGGGCAUUGGAUUAGUACCAAACUAUUGUGAUAAUGUCAUCUGUAUCGUAACUCAAAGCUCUCGGUAAAAAUAAAUUGUUAUUAAAAUAUUAUAAUUUUUACAUUUAUUUUUAUUUAGACUUUAUUGAUCCAAUUCUAACUAACUCGUGUAUGAUUGAGUUAGUUUGAUUUGAUUUUAACAAUAAAAUUAAACAAACUCAACUCAAUAUCCAAAUUGUAAAUUUCGAUUUGAUUACAUAGUGAAAUUAGUCAAAUGUAUUUAAUGAUAUAGGAAUAGUAAAUAAAUUUAAAAAUUUUAAUUUAAUUGAUUGAACAAGCAAGUAGGUGAAUUGUUAUAAACACUCUAGCAUUUAUCUUUUAUUUCAAAGGAUAAAAAAGGAUCAAUAAAUAAAUUUUCUUUUAAUUUAUUGUAUUUUUUUUUGAAAUAUUUUGUCAAUUUUUAGUUUUUCUUUUAUAAUUUUUUUUAUUUGUUAUAAUGUUUAUUUUACAAUAGUAUUAUAGCUAAAAUCUUAAAUUACUGUUAAAGUGUAAAUAAUCUAUAAAUAUAAAAUAUAAAUAUUUUUUUAAUUAAUAGACCGUAAAUAUAUUUUUUAAAUGAUUAAUUAGAAAAAAGAUAAAUUAAAUUUUUUGAGUAAUUUUGAGCCAAAGUAAUUUUACCACUUCCUUCUAUAUAUUUUUGUGAGUCUCUAGAAAAAAGUUCAUAAGUUUUGAUAUUUAUAAAUUAUUUACUAUUUAAGAUUUGAAAGCCCAUUCGUCUCAUAUUGUACAAAUAUUUAUACAUCAAUAUCAUUAUGGUGACCUCACCAUUAUACUCUAUACAGCAGAAAUUAAAACACCUUAUAUACAGCAUUACAUUGCCCCAUACUCCAAUGAUUCCCAGUUGAAGGGCUGGAACACAUAGUAAACUCUAGGUGAGCUUUUGAAGAGCAAAGCCACACAGACACACACAGCUGCUAUGGUCACCAUGGUGAGCAUAACUGGCCAAUAAACCAUUGCUGUUCUCAUGCCCGACAUUGACGUGGCAUUGUUGUUGUUUCAAUCUUCUCAGUCUGCAAGCUUGAAACUCUACAUGUCCUAUGUCCAUUUGAUUGCUUCUGCGUCGUGUAACUAUCUACAACAAUGCCAGUGAUAUCAACCACAUGCUGUCUUUCACCUUUUUUGUUGGUCUUCUUCUGGACUAGUUGAAUGUAGGAGUAAUAGCCCCUAAGGCAUGCAUAGUCGUUAGGGGUCAAACCUGUACUGUCCCGGGAACUUUUCCAUGCCUCAAUUCCUAACUGAACACAACAGACAUAAGGUUCAAAACAUAGUGUUCUAAGUUGUGAUCAGUAAUUCAAUCAGGGUCAGUGUAAAUAUAAUGAAAACCAUGCAAAUUUUCCUGCACGCUAGAGAACACACUCGCUGAGAAGGGGGAGAGACAGUGAUCUAAGUAAAAUAUAGCAAUCUCAUUUCAAUCUUGGAGACACUGCUCUAAAAGCCUGAAAUACAUAAAGCAAACAGACAACAAAGGAUUACCAUUCGUGGAUCAUCGGUUAAUGCAUCCAACACAUCCUCCAAGCCACUCAUACUUGCUGCAACAUGAAGAGGAGUCAACCCAGCUGGCCCAACAGUAUCAGGUCUAAACAAGAAUCUGUCAGAGGCUUCGUCAACUUGCUUCACUUCACUGUCUGCACCAUCUGAGGUUUUAACUGGCACAAAUCUUAACAGUAGUUCUACCAUAGGUCUACAAUUUCUCUUUACAGCUGUGUGUAGAAGACCCAUGUUUAACAAUGCAAGCUCAAUGGAGGCAUGCUCUCCCGCAUCAACACCACCCUCAAAUAUAAUGUCCAAGAGUUUGUUCAUCACAGCACACCAGCCAUGGUCCAUGGAGAAGUCAACGAGCCAAGCGAACCGAUUGAAUUGGAAGAGAUCACGGAAAGGAGCCAUGGGACCAAGCUUAACUUUCACAUGACUUCUAUGAAGAAGCCAACCCAUUUCUUGCAAGAAAUCCAAAGCUCUAGUCAUUUCUUCCAUUUGUUGUUUUUUUAUCUGGAUGUCAUCAGUGGUUUCAGCUGCCUCAAUCACAUUUUCUAGUUUGCAGAUCUCUGAACAAACCUCUUGCUCUGCAACUAUAAAUGGAAAGGAACAGCUGCUAAGACCAUGAUCUUCCACCUGACAGUAAAAAUUAUCAAAAUAUAGCUUCAGAAGAUAGCAGAAUAGAAAAAGUUAUUUUAAAUGUAUUGCUUUAUAUGCAGGAACUAUCUUUGGUUUCUUUCUUGGGAUAGCUUGCCUCUAUUCAGCCACUCUUUUAAUUUUCUUAGAUUUUUAAAUCUGUAGUUUGGCGUAAUGAACAAUAUGGGACUAAAGAGUUUAUAAGGAAAUCUGAACUAUAUGGGACCAAAGUUCACUAAAAGGUUACAAAAGCUAUAAGUAACCAAAUGGGGGAGGCAUUAACAACAGCGAUAUUGAAUCAUUAACAAAGGAGUUAUUCACCAAUGACAUUUCAAAAACAAGCAACAGAGAUUUGUGUUCUUCUGUUAGUUUCAGGAAUUUUGCAGCAUGCAAUCUAAAAUUACAAAAUGAAAUUAAAGCAUGUUUCACUUUGUUGACAUGAAAAACCCAAAAAACAAAUUCUUAGAGAAAUUUUGGAGUAUGAUAAUUUGAUACCACCUCAAUGAACCCCCUCCCAGUUACAUUUGGUAUAUGACAAGAGAAGCUUAGAUGCUGAAUGGGUGCAUCAGCUCCACCAAUCAAACCAUGACAGCUAGCAUGUACCAGAUACUUCCCUUCAAGUGCACAGAGCAACCUGGAAAUCAUAAGCAAGAGAUCAACAUCUGGGCCAAUCCCAACAAAUAAAAAUUAGAACUCGGAUCCUCCCUAUAUCCAAAUCGUAUACAGAAAAUGAAUAACUAAAUCCAAUGCACAGUAUUUAGCAUGUGAAGCCACCUUUCUUUCAAAAUUCCACCCAAUUAUAUUCAAAGGUGCUAACAUCCUGGGAAAAAGAAAUACAUUAUUGUUUUUGCCUUUUUCUAAUCCCUUCUUAUGAAAUUGUAUAUCCAGCAGCAUGAUAUACUAGAACCUUUCAAAUCAACAAUUUUAAGUAUUACUAGACGUAAAGAGAUUCACCUUGUGCUAGACUGGAAAAGGUUGAAACCUUUCACAAUAAAUUGAGCACUAGCACUUGCAGGAACAGCAAGUGGUUUAAUGCAUGAAAUCCUACAAUGUUGUGGGCUUUUGAGAUGCAAGGGCACAUCUAAGACUACCUGACCUGCAGGAGAGAUACACGAAAUCAAAACAGUUUCUAGCAACCAAAUUAAUGAACAAUAUAAGUUCUUCAUGAUACUAAAAAAAUUACAAUUACAUUAGAGGAAUGGUCACACAACACACAGAAUGAGGAAGAACAAACCGUUAUACAGAAAAGCUACAGAGUGCUGCACCCUUGCAUAUACCCAUCCUGUUCUCCAAAAUGAAUCAUUUGAUUCGGCAAGAAGCUUUCUCAAGCUUGAUCCUAGAUUACAGUAGAGCUGCAAUAUCAAAAUAGUAAUAAGUACAUUUAGAUUUCUUUCCCCCUUUUAAAUGGAUUUCAUCCAGUAGCCUGUAUUUGUGACAUUAUAUCAAACAAUACCUCCUCCCAUGCAGAUUUUUCAAGACGGAGGUAUAUCGUUAAUAUUAUACAACCUGGCCUUAUAUAGCUCUCCAUCUCCGUGGGACUGUGGGAUAACCAGUUGAGAAUCUGAAACACAAGAACUGUAAGUCAAACACAGCACAAAGAAACAUUGAUGUAAAAUUGUCUAUAGCAACUUCAUGGCACAAAAAAGUACCUGUGAUCGGAUAAGAAGGGGAAAAUCAGAUGGAUCCUUGCCAAAGAGUUUAAAAACAAUUCGAUCUGUGCGACUCUGUAAACAGCAAACAAAUAACAUGUCAUUCUGAGACAGCCACAAAAAAGUAGACCUACACACUAAUGAAAAGGCAAAGAACCUGAAAAAGGGACUUCAAAUAAUGACCUUGGCAAAAUAGUAUACAACAACAACAACAACAACGCCUUAUCCCACUAGGUGGGGUCGGUUACAUGGAUCAACUUCCGCCAUAAUGUUCUAUCAAGUACCAUACUUCUAUCCAAAUCAUUAAGUAAAACUUCGUACCCCAUUGUCCAGAGGCUCUUCGCUAUGCGAAGGUAUGGGGGAGGGAUGUUGUACGCAGCCUUACCCUUGCAUAUGCAAAGAGGCUGUUUCCGGAUUCGAACCCAUGACCAACAAGUCACCAAGACACAACUUUACCGCUGCACCUUGGCAAAAUAGUAUCUUUAUCAGUAAAGAUAUCUAUACAAUCAUUCAAACAAUCUAAAUAUUUUGAUACAAAGGUAAAUAGAAGAAUAAUUAAAUUAUUCAGAAAAGAGGAAAUGGAUUUAAAUGACAUCAAGAAUAUACCUGAGCUUCUCCACUGGAACUGGAUGGUGAUUGGAUAGAGGUUGAAUCUGAGUUUCUACUUGUCUGUGGAGGACUUGAUUUGAGAGAAUCACGCUGCAACCAUGAGGCACGGUCAAUAGACCCCAUCACUGAAGCCACAGGAGGAUAAGGCUUCUUAUGAUUCUCAACAGUAUUCUGUAUAUCAUUGUAACCAUUAUUAAGGUCAAUGUUAUUCAAGUUUCCCCUUCCUACUUUAGUCUCUGCUGUAGUUAAUUGGGAUGGAAGGCUGUCCCUUGGUUGACAUACAUUUGAGAACAGUGGUCUUGAAGGAGGUUUUGAAUUUCCUACUCCACCAUCACCUGAAGCUAUACAUUUUUGUGUCCUGCCAUCAGCAGGUGUUUCAUACUGCGCCACCGGCAUUGUAGGGUCCUGAGUGAUGAUGACAUUGUCUGUCUUGAUGAAAGAAGAAGGCCUGGAAGCUUCAGGAGCAUUUGAGUUAAGGUUGGGUUUAUCCUGAGCAGCUCCGGGCGUCCCAGCAUUUACCAAGUCUUUCGAUUCCUCCAGUAAGGGUGCUAACCUUCCACCAUUAUUUGGACCAGCCAGACUUGCCAGGUUCUUCAGCAGAUGAGAGAGAAUAUCCUGGUUCCUUGUAUGAUCUGAGCCAUUUGCUGCAAUUUAUACAAGGCAUAAUCUGUGGAGUCAUCCUGGAUGAAGGUGAAAUGCAAAAAUGUUCCAACACCAGAGACAUCAUAAGCAAUUUUCUUCUUUUUCAAGUCAUAUUAAAUACAACUGCACCAUAAAAGUACAACAAUACCAUUUUCAGGUGUCCAAAUUCUCUAAAUUAGCAUCAACACGGAUGACAGCUACCUUAUUAAGAUUUUGCAACUAAAAAGAAUUAUCAAACAGUAACCAUCAGUAGCUUGGAUUCAUAAUCAUUACAGUUACAUAGUGCAUCAGCCAAAUAAAUAAAUCAUGAAGAAUGCCUAGCAGAUAAACUUCUGAUGUCACAAAUACUCACAAUGUAAAUUGGUCAGUAUCCGUAACAGACUCAUCAACAGAUAGUUACUGCCCCUUUGAUCGUUCAGAGAGCCUUCAUUAACAACAGAAACAUCAGGAUGAGUUUUCCUCCUCCUCCUAUUGUGGCCUGCCAAACGCCUUCGACAACUUCUCUUGCCUUCAUCAAACUCUUGAAGAACAUGAAACCUGUCAAAAAAAUUAACAGAUUGCAUCCAACUUGAGUACAAAGGUAGGUAAAUGCUGUGAAAUUCUAUUUUAUUUAAAAAUAAAAAAUAUAUAUAUUUUAAACAACUUCCACUUAGGACUAAACUACAAGAAAUAAAGGGUCUUCCCUUUUCUGAACUUCCACAAAAAAUAUUAAUUUGAUGAUCACAUCACACAUAUGAAGAUGUAUAAUAUAACCCCCGAGAAAUUAUCAGUUUGCAACCUAACUUACCUGCUACACUGCUGACAGAAACGUUGCAUAACAUUUCCCACUAGUGCCAUAGUGGCCUUAGAAUGAAUAUCACAAACCUUAUGCCGACGGUGGUAAUCCUUGGCAUUACUAAGAUCAGCCCUACAAUCUUGCACCUGACAAACAGCACGAUUAGAGGCAGUGGUAGUACUAGCUGUAGUGGUCCCAAUUACCUUUGUUUUCUUUCCACUCUUUUCUUCUUCUUCCACCAUGAGAGGGUAACCUUGACCCGCAAGGUUCAAACUAAGAGAACCAGCCUCAUAAUUCAGUCCCUCACCUUCACCUUCACCUAUAACACCCCUCCUCCUUUUCUCCAAUUCCCUCUUUCCUUCACCUGAGAUGAAAACAGAAUAAGACAAAUUGGUGGUAGAUGGAUUAGCAUUUUUUGCAGGAAUUUCAGGAUGAGGUGGGGAAAACUGGCGACCCCUACAAUCAGAUGGCACUGAAUUGAGUGGUUGAGCAGUGAAAAGAUCACCAUCCCAUCUCCAAUCAUUCAAAUCCCAUUCCAAACUCCUCUUCCCAUUCCCAACAACAGCUUUCUUCAUUCCUGACACCACAGGUCCAUACAAGUACUGAUUCUUCGCUCCAAACUCAGCCUCCAUCAAUCAAAAUCUAACUUGUUGCAACAAAGUCCAAUAACCAAUUCCAAUUCCAACCCCACCUGCAACAAAAAAAACACAUCAACUAAUAAUAAAACUCAAAAGGGUGGCAGGCCAGACAGAAAAAUUGAAACUUGAGGGAGCAUUUUCACAAAGCGUGAAAAUUUACAUGAUGAGAAUAAGAAUUGUUUUGUGUUUUUAGGAAGUAGGGAGAAAAGAGAAGAUGUGGGACUUAAAAAGAGACAAGAGAGAAAUAAGGAACAGAUUAUGUGACAUCAAAAUGUCUCUUUUCUGUGCUGACUGCUCAUACUGAAGACUCAUGAUGAAUCAGUUAGUGUUUAUAUUUAGUGUGACUGUGACCUCAUUGUCAUCAUGCCUCGUGGUUUGGUAAAACUUAAGGAAUCUCCACUGUCCCAAACCCAUUUACUACUUUUCUGGAUCGUUGAAAAUUGAGAAACAUAGUUAAAUUUCUAAAAGUAAAUUAUAUAUAUAUAUAAUAUGUGUGUGUGGGGUCACGGACCAGCAGUUAUGAAAAAACUGCACGAGUGGGAUCAUACAAAUAGUAUCACAUUAUCUUAAAAAAAUAAAAAUAAAGACAUAGUAUCACACAAUAGUUUUUUUGUUUUUUUAUAUAACAAAUUAUCACUAGUUUUAUUAAUGAUUAAUUUUUAUUUCACCAGUCAUUUUUAAUAAAUUUUUUUUAAUUAUAUACUUUUCAUUUAGAAUACUGAAAUUCAAAGUCUUAUUGUAAUAUUAAUGAUCAUAAACUAUUUUAUGGCUUUAUAUGUUAAUAUUGUUAACAUUUUUUUCCGAUUAUGAUGAAUAAAAAAAAUAUAAUUAAAAAAAGAAUUGAGAUUAGCCAAUUUUAUGAGUUACUAAUUACUAUAUAAGCCAAUUUUAUCAACAACGUAUAGAUUCAAUUCGUAUUAAAAAUACUUGUGGUUAAUUAGAGACGCGUCAUUAAACUCUUCAGCUCAGAGUGUGAAAGAUAUCAUAAAAAACGCAAAAGAGAUAAUAAAUAUCUCACGGUCUAGUAUUUUUUUUUUCAAAAUAUCUUGAACAGAACAUUAAUUGAUACUAUUUUACACAUUGUGGGGGUAAAGACAUUCUUAGCAGAUCUUCCUUAAAUUCAAAGGGUUAUGAUAAUAGGUUUUCAUACAGGAGCUGAAAAGUUUUUUAAAAAAUAAAUUAUAAACUACAUAAUUGAAUCUGGAUUAAAUCACCUCAAUUUUGUUAAAUUUUGCAAGAGCAAUAUUGCUUAUAUAUGUACACCAACUAUUAACGGAUGAUUAUCCAAGCAAUUAAUCCUACAGUUUCGUACGUAGUAGAUGAACUCAACUCAUAAAUCAUAAUUGUUUGUGUCCAGCCUUAAAAGGCAAAUGAAAGCUACAUAUCUUCACGUGGGUCUGAGCAAUUGAUAGAAAUCGGAAAAAGGGUGUUCAAAGUGACUCAAAGGGAAAUUCUCUAGAUAUUUAUUGGAAUUGCAAUCCAAACAUUUCUUAGAAUUAAGGUUUGGAUUCAACUCCACUACAAAAUCUAGUAAUAUGAACAAAUCACUAUCGUAAUUUUGUAAUUAGAUUGCAAAUGAUCCAAUGAUAACACGAUAACGAAUGGUCUAAGAAUAAUACUAAGAUAAAUUUUUAUAUCAUUUUAAAAUUGAAAUUGAAAUUAAUUAACAAUAAGAUUUUGAGUUUUGGAGUUGAUUGUGCAUAAAUAAAUAGAAGAAAUUAAAUUAACAUUCUUUGAAAAAAAAAUCAAAUUACACAUAAUAUCCCUCUUUAUUUAAUAUUUACAACAACCUCUCUGACUAAAGAAUGUUAGUAUAGCAUUUUCAAACAUUAAAGAAGAUUCAUAUUGGAAUAAAAAAAAGUAAUGUAUAUAAAAGUGACAAAAUAGUGGAUCUAAAUUUUUUUAAUCUAGAUCAUGGUGGAUCGGAUCAAAACAAUACAUUCAUUUUGAUCCAUUAAAAAUUUAAUCCAUCUAUGAUUUAUUUAAUAAAAUUCAAUUUGAUCCUUUCAUUAACAAUUUUUAGCAUAUAUAUAAAUACUCUCGACCCAUUCAAAAACAUUGAAAAUUAAAUAAUUAUCAUAAAAAUUUAUGAUAUAUAAUAAUUUGUGAUUAAAUUAUAAUAUAAAUUGUUUUGCAGCAGUGCAUAUCAUAUUUUCUUAUAAUUGAAUGACAGUGUGAUUGUUCUUUUCACCGUUUUGUUAUAUUUUACAGUGCAUAUUAGAUGUCUGUCCAAAGACAAAGACAAACUGAAUCUGUCCUUCCAAAUUCUACUGCAUAUUGGAUUUGACGUAGCUUUUUACCCAAAAAUAGGAUUUAAAUUGAUCCUCUAGGACUAGCACUAUAACAAAAAGCUAGUAUAAGAUGCUCUUGGUUCUUGGCCCCUUCCAUUUAAUUGCAAGCCAGUAAUAGGUCCAUUACAUGCAUUAAUUAAAUGUAUUUGAAUCAAACAUUUAUAACUGGAUGAGGAAAGAACUUUAGCAUGCAGGUUCCUUAUCCACCAGCACCCUCAAAUGUUAAACAAGUUAAAGGUUAUAUUUGGUAAAAUUAACUAGUGAUUUGAAGUUUAAAAGUUAAUUUAUUAAAUUAGAAGUAUUAAGUAAAAUUAAUUAUUAAAAUAUCUGAAAAGUAAAAAAUAAUAAUAUUAUGAUUUAUUUAAAAGAGAUAAUAAAUAUAUUAAAGAUAAGAGUGAAAAGAAAUAUAAAAAAUUAAAAGUUAAAAACUAAUAUUUUAAAAAGUGUUGCUUUAAGUAAUGUUUCUGAAAACAUUAAAAAUUAUUAUAAAAAAAUUUAUUUACUGAACAGUCAAAUCAACUAAUAAAAUUAGUUAAAAUAUCUUAUUUAACAUAACGUAAAUGUUGUCAUAUUCAAGAAGAGAUGUUAGAUUUAUGUUAUAUAAUAAUUUUUACUAACACUUUAUAUUUUGUCUGUUUGAUAUAUAUCUAUUUUAUUCGUACGUUUUCUCUCUUUUUUUUAUAUUGAAUAUACGAAAAUAUUGUGUAAAUAAAAUUUAUCGGUUAACAAUAUAUGUUCAUGUUGAACCUGAAUUGAAUACCGACACAUGUAUAAUAUAAUUGUUUUCAUUUAAAAGAAUUAUUGUCUUAUCAUCAAUCUUUUAUGUAAUUUUUUUUCUUUUCUCUAGAUAUUAAAUAAAUCAUGAACACAACAUUGAAUAUGACAAAAAAAAUUCAAAUUUAACUACGUUUAUAUUAUCUCUAUAAAUUUUGUAAGAGAUUAUAUAUCAAGAAUCAUACGAUGAUAAUGUCAAAUCAAUAUAAAUAUAACUUAUAUAUUUUUUAAGAAAAAUAUAAGUUAUAAGUUAUAUUAAAAAAAGUAAAUUGUGUUCCUCUAAUUUAAGAGACCCUUAAAUGAUACUUUCUUGCCCUGCUUAUUUUAAAAUAUAGUUAUCCUUAUUGAGUGAUGGAUACGAGUUAUAUUUGAGUUUAUUUUAAAUUAAAAUUAGUUUUCAUUUUUUUUUCUCACGGAAAUUCUCAACAUAAUUAACAACAAGUUUUAAAAAUAUUUUUUUGUUAAAAAUAAUAUUUAUCACUAAUUUUGUGGAUAAAAAGAUAUGAUUAAAAUUUGGAAAAAAAUAAUUUGAUAAAAGAAAUAAUGAAUCAAAUUUUUCAACUCGCAAAUUAAUCAUCAAUAAAAUUAAUAAAUAUUUCUUAUCAAUAACAUAAUAACAAAAAAUAACCCUCCAACAUAACGAAGAAGUCAUGUUGCAUUGCAGACAGGAUUAACUAAAGCAAGAGAAGAGAAGAAAACAGAAGAAAGGAAAGCAAUUGAGAAUUGGAAAGUAGAAAGAAGAGUAAGUGUGCAUAUAAUAAUUACAUUACAUUAAUUGUACGUAAUGCGGUCCCAGAGACUGAGAGAGACCAAAUCACUGGCAACUCGAUCAUGUGCUUGCUGUGGACGACAUUGCCUCUUUCCUCUGCAUGUGGACCAAGAUUUAUUUGUCCUCCAUUCCCUCUUUCUCUUUAUUAGGGAGACAAAUUUAAUUACUAAAGGAGAUCAGAAAAUAAGUGAGUUAUAAUUUCAUAAUUUCCCUCAUUUAGAUGGUACACCAAUACUGGGGUAGAGGUAGAGGGGAAAAAAAAGACAACAACUGAGUCACACCCAAUUAUCCUUCAUGAAUUGAGAAGAGAUACAAUUGAGUGUUUUUUUUUUCUUUAUGUUAUUUAAAAAUAAAACAUACAAAAAAUAUAUUUUAUAUUAAGAAAAAUAGUAGAGUAAUUAAAAAUAAAUAUAUUUUUAGAUUAAAAAAAUGCUUUUAUUUUAUUUUCUUAUUUCUAUUUAUUUAAAUAAAAAAAACGUUUUUAUUUUAUUUUCUUAUCAUUUUUUCCUAUUUUUUCUUUCUUCACCAUUUCACUCCUCAUUAAAAAAAAGAAAAAAAAACGUGGCUGCUGAACAUAAUGUAGAUAUGUGGUCAAACCUUUCUAAUUAAAAGAGUAUUCUCGUUUUUCCAUAUUCAUUGGAUAUUUUCUCCCAUCAGAAUCAGUACAUGUUCCAUCUCAAUUUGCUUAUUUACAGGAGAAAAGGUAAAUCUCACUAACAAGGGUUCAUGCAUGGACAGAUAACAGAUUCUUUGCACAAUGAUCCUAAACCUUUUGUUUUUCUUUUUUCUUUUUAUGAAUUAUGCAAACUAUUAAUAAUCGUUAUUUAAACUUCAUAAAAUAUCUUUGCAUAUUUGUGCAUGCGACUGCCAUUUUUCAAAUCUUUACAAUGUACCGUAGUAUUACAUCGAUCUCUUUCAAUCUCAACCUCCAAAACAAAAGUGACCUUGCCAACAAUGCAAACAUGAAAAACCUGCACUCUCUUUGCGCGUGAAUCAAUAAGGGAAGUGGUAUGUAUAUCUUUGAUAUUUUGAAGAAACAACCAUAGGUCUCUUUUUUUGUUUGUUUUAGAGUUUCUUAGCCCUAAAGGUACGUUCGAGGAGAUGUUUUCUUUACUACAUUGGAUCUUGGGUACUGUGUAAAGGAACUUCAGUGUUUAUUAAUUUCCAUUUGAAACAAACGGCCCUUAGGAAGACAUAAUAACUUUAUUCCUUUAAGUGUGGUCAAAAGUAAGAUUUGAUCCCAGAUGUAUACGAAAAAAUAUCUGUUGAAAAAAAUAAAUUCAUUAAAUAGAUAUCACUAGAUUGAGAUACUAUUCUUUGAGUCUUGAUUGAAAAUACACAUAUUAACCUAAAAAUGGCUCUGUAAAAAAAUAAAGUAAUAGUCAUUUCUUUUCUUAGGCACACACAUAAUCAAUCUAACUGGUCCACCCAAAAUUAGGACUAUUAUUUCCUACACCUCCAAGUUGAUUUCUGUAUCUUUUUUUUUAAUAUUUUUUUUAUCUUUUAAAUUGGACCCCGAAAGUAAAAAAAUUGUAAUAAGGCCAAAACAUAAAAUUAUUAUGUAAUAAAAUCAAUAAAUUUUGUGACAAUUAAUUUUGAUCUAAUAAUGUAUUUUUUAUGUAAAUUUAUAUAUGCAUUAAAUAUACAUUAAAAAUUAUAGUGUUAUAUAUAGCGAUAUUGAUUAUUUUAUAACAUAAUUGACCUACUAACUCAAUUGGUUAGAGUGUUCUGUUAAUAACCUAAAAGUCACAGGUCGUAAGUCUCUUAUGGAUUACGAAUCCUUUUAUUAGCAGGGAUAAUUUUGGAAAAAACAAAAAAUUGUUAGAUGUACAAGAAAAAUGUUGGGUGCACAAAUAAAGUCCACAAGUUCUCGCAAGUCAUAACGAGGGCCCAAUUUGCAUAAGCCUCAUGACAAAGGAAUAGAGGAUAAAACUAUUUUGGGACUUAAAUUUCACACAUCCGAUUAUUCAAUCAAAAGACCAUUAUACUCUUGAUGAAAUUUUCACUUCUCAUCUCUCAACCCUAACACCUCCCUUCUCCCUUCCCUCAAUUCUAACACCUCCUGCAAUGGCAUAUCCUUCGACGGCCACCACCCGUGACAACAUCUCCCUCUCACUCCCUCAUUCUCGUUCCUCCUCCAAAGAAGGUAAGUAGCUUCUCUAAUCCUAUUUAAUUAACAGUAAAAUAGCUUCCAGAAUGACAAUUCCGUAAACAAAAAAUCCUUUUGGAAGGACCUUUACUUAAGCAAAAAAGCUUCUGGAAGGGCUGUUCUGAAAGUAUUUUUGCUUAUAGAAAGACCAUUUCAAAAGACGUCUUUUAAAAUUUAGAACAACCUUUUUAGAAAUGUAUUUUAUAUAUUCUGAAAAGGAGAUUUCUAUAAAUCAGUAUUAGGCUUACGAAAAACCCAUUUCGGAAGCAAAAACUACAAUUCGAAGUAGUUUUUUCAAAAGUGUAUUUUGCAACUUUCAAAAACGCCAUUUCAAAAAGUACUAUUUUGACUUAUGAAUGGAUCAUUCUAGAAGCAAAAAUAACAAUUCGGAAUAGUCUUUCUGGAAGUACAAUUUGUACCUUUUGAAAUGAUCGUUUCAAAUAACAUUUUUUUGUAUGAAAAAGAUGUUCUAUAAUAAUUAUCCUUUAAAAAGAGUCAUUUUGUAAAAAUAUUUAUACCCUUACAGAAUACUUGUUCCAGAAACAAAUCCACAAUGUGAAUGUGGAUGCGUUAAAACCUACUUAUAGAGUGAAGAGGGACUUUUGCAGCAUCAAGUUGAAUUUACUUUGUAGCUUUGAUGAUUGUGAGAAGAAGAGUUGGAGAAGAAAAGAAAAAUUGAAAAGGGGAUCUGGACUUGCACUGCAGGAAUAAGAGAACAACAUGAAUAGGCUGUGGCUGCAGAGGAAGAAGAUAGAAGGGGUAAGUUGGAAUUUUUAAAAAAAUGGGAGAUGUGUAGAAUUCAAUUACCAACUAUUUUUUAGGUUCACACACAGCAUAAAACUGUGUUGGCAAAAUCUUUUGCCUAAUUAUGCUCUAGUUCAAUUGAAUAUACUAGCUCCUCGUGGUAGAAAAGGUGCAGGCUUUUCAUGUCUCACCAUUGAGACGAAAAUAAAACUUACGAUGAUCUAAUGCACGACCAAUAUGAAUAUUAUACAUGACACUAUCCUCCUAAACUCAAUCAUAAUUAAAUUUCUUUGUUAGGCUGUAGUUUUCUGUCUUCUAACUUUUAUUCUCAAUUAUCAACAGAAGUUAUACUGAUAAAUUAGAGUUAAGUUUUCAAUACAUUUUUUUUCAUCAUGAAGUACAUAAACAUAAUUAAUUUUUUUGACCAUCAUUUUAAAAAAUAAACAUUAACAUAACUUCGCUACAAACAGUAAAAAAUUUAUACUUAACCAGAAAGUCCAUUAAGUAAGAAUUAGUAUGUUUAGAUUUCACUUAAGAAACUGUAAAUCACACAAAAACAUGAUUUGGAUAAUAGUUAUGAUAAACAUUUUUUUUUUACCAAAACCAUGAUUUGGAACCUUCCCAACAGAAACACGCACAAAUUGGUUGACUUGACCGAUACAUUUGAUUUUUGACAGAACUUUUAUUGUAGUUGCAUCUCCUGGUUGUUUCGUGGGUAGCUCUUUAACAUGUGCAUUUUGCGAUUCCAAUUCGCAUGUAUCCAAAUAAAUAAAAAGACGAAAUCAAAAUGAUAUUUCAACCAAAUUGACCUUUAACUUUACAAAAGGUGAUAUACACAUUUCGCAAUUAAAACAGUACUAUUUUUUAUAUGUGAAUAACCCAAAUAAAAAAUUAGAAAAUAUAGAUGGAAUCUUUAACAAAAAUGCCAUCAUAAGCCAGCCAAAUCCAGCAUCACAAAUGCAAUUCCAACCAAAGGCUUCUAAAAGUUGCAUGACAACAAUACGAGCACUAUGCUAUCUUUAUCCAUUUUUGCUGUAUAGCAUUUAGUUAACGCAAAACUGUUUUGAACAACUUUUUCGUGAACUAAUUAUUUAAAACUUUUAAUUGAUAAAUGAAAAACAUAAAUAAUUCCAGGUUUAGUAAUAAAAUGAUGAAAUAGUCCAUACACUCAAUAUUUAAUUUAAUUACAAACUGAUAUAUAUAUAUAUAAUAAAUUUGUUAAGUUUUAUAAUAAUUAAUUUAAAAUGCUAUACAGAAAAAAAUAAAGGAUAAAGGUAGCAUAGUGCUCGGAUUUGUCACUAAAGUAAAGAAUUGUAAUUUUAUUUUUUAAAAAUGUAUAAUAAAAUCAUAAUAAAUAAAUAAAUAAUAAUUAGUGUAAUGAGUCUCGCUCGACUCUUGGUUGGAUGAUAAUCUUGAUGUCAACAAAAAAAAAUCAUUUUUUUAAUCUUCUUUUAAUGUAAACUUUGGUACUUAAGUCAUUUUGAGAAUGAGUGAAGUGAUGAAAUUGGAGAGUAAAGACAUUAAUUUGUGUUAUCGUCUCUGGCCCUUUUAUAUUGAGGAUUUCUCAUUCAUCCCUUGAUUUUGUACGUGCAUAUAGAGAGGAUACGUCUUUCUCGCCUCACGUGAUUUUCGGAGGUUGUUUUGUUAUUGGAUAAUUUUAAGUAUGAUUUGUUGUUUCGCAUGUGUAUUACCUUGAUCCGAUUUGGUCAGUGUGUUCUUACAGCUUUUGGGUCUCUCAUGUGCACAUUUGUCUCUUGUUUUUACACUUUUAUGAUCUAGAACGAAUAAUUAAUCAACCGAUAACCAUGCUUUAAUGUGAAACGAUUAUAGAAUAAAGUUGAAAGAAAGUAGAAACAUUACCGACAGUGGCUCAUGUAUUUUCCUAUUUAUUUUGUUUGUUUGAUUUGAUUUGAUUAAUUUUCAGGGUACUCUAAUGAUAUUAAGUCACAAUCUAAUUAUCCUUUGUAGUAGAUGGUGAGAGUUGUCUUCUCCCAAACCAUCAAAUUAUAAGAUCCAAAAUCUCUUUUGAUGAGGUCUGAUCCCUCCCGUAUAUAUAAACAAAUUUAGAAGUUAAAAUUAAACAAUACAUAACUUGAAAUUAAUGUUCAGAGUGCAUUUACUUUAUUAUAACACUAUAAAUAAAUAUGAAAAUGGUAAAGCAAAAGUUCAAAAAGCUUUGUGUUUGAGACUAACUUUGAGUUUAAUUUUUCUUUAAAUUGUAUCAAAACGGAAUACAAGUUACAAAAGUUAUAUUAUUAUUUAUUGAAUGUCUUGGUUGUGGGUAGUAUCGAUUGACAGUGGCAGACACAGACAGGCAACAACUAGAUUUACAAAUUGGAACAUUAAUUAGAUACGUAAAUUACGUGUUUCUUAUAAUUGUUUUUGAGGAAAGAAAAUGAUUAAGAAAAAAUGAACGAUAAUGUACUUUUUUAUGAUUUUAAUUAAUAGCAUACAUAAAAUAAUCAUAUAUAUAAAAAUAAACAAACUUAUUAUAAAUAACAGUUUAUAAUUAAAUAAUAAUAUAAUUAUAUAAAUGUAUUUUAAACUCUUAUUAUAUUAUUUAUUUAUUUGAAUGAAGAAAUUAAAUUUUUGUUAAAGUUUUAAAAAGCUCUUCAUUCUUUCAUUGACUGGACCAUUUGCAAUGGAGAAUCGUGAAUAAAGAAAAGAAAAAAAAAAGGAUAAAAAAAGAGAAGAAAGUGCCCGCCGUUUCGGAAACGGGCUUUUGAGUUUGUUGACUUGGCAAAGGCAAAGGCAAAGGCAGCGGUUGUAAUAAAUGUGAAUAAAUAGCGUUUGGUUUGGUGAUGUUCAUAAGAGGUGUCUCGGUGAAGUCAAGGUUGGUCUCUUCUGGUCUGUUCUGUUCUUCUACGCAGACACAUAACAUAACACAACGCACCUCUUCUUCUUCUUCUUUCCCUUCAAAUUUCAACUUCUUCAUCCAUUUUGUGCUCCAAACAGCACAAACACUGCAAUCACACCGUCUUCGCUUUCUACUCAUCUAAAAGGUGGUUUUUUUUUUUUCCCUUUCAUAACACCGAUUCUUCUCUCUGGGUUUUCGUUUCUCUGUUUUUGUUUUGUUCCUUUAACCGUUUGGUCUGUUACCCUUUUCUUCUCAUCUCAUCAACACGCACGAAUAUCGAGACUUGGAAUUUUUUCUUUUUUGAAAAAAAAUAAUUUUUGGGUUCAACUCUGUCUCUACAUAAAAGAAUGAAUUUUUUUACAAAGUCCAUCUGUAAUAUUUUUUUAUUUAAAACCCAGAAUUCUCUUUAAUCACUUUGGUUUCAUGCUUGCUUAUUACUUUUUGGGGCUAAUUGUCUUUGAAGUUGUUUAUUUAUUUAUUUUCUGGGACAUGAUUAAGGUGGUUCUGCAUGUUUGUUUGUUUGUUUGGGCAGUGUUACCCUUUCGGGGUUUAUAUAUAAAUAAUAGAAAUAAGAAAUUUUAUACUUUCUGCCUUUCCAAAGUUUAAGAGUAAUAGAAUGUAACCGUAAACCUUUCUGGUGUUUUUUUUUUAAUCGUUUUUUGAAAGUGAAAUUUGCUUUCACGACAUUUGUUUAUUGGGAGUAAUAUAAUGUGCCGCUGCCGGUUUUUAUUUGUGGGGAUGGUUAGUGAUUUUUUUCUUCUUCUGAAUUUUAAUUCAUUUGUCGGUGUUCCUGUUUGCACUUUGACUAAUUGCAUGUAAUUUGGUGUUCUGUCAUGCAACAACAGAUUAAUGGGAAUGUGUGUCCCCUUUAUUGUCCAUGUGAAGGGGAAAAACCUUAAAGCCGAGAGAGGCUACUUUUCUUAUAAUUCCCUUUAGUGGUUUUGGAAGAGCCUAAGUAUUUUUCUUCUCUUUCAUUUUAUUUUAUCAUGUUGCUGCAAAGUUACUGACAAAGGGCUUGUUAGUUCAUCUCUAAAUUUUGUUUCCUUGUCUUGUCUAUAGUUUUUUUAAUGGUGCAAUUUAUGUUUGUGUUCCUAGUGCUUUAUUUCUUUUGAAAAAUUAAAAUGACUAUUUAGUUUAUACGAUCGAAGGGGAAAAAGAUGAAAAAAAAUACUAUGUCAAUUUAUAAUUUGCUUUCCAUAUUCUCAUCAUGUGAAAUUCUGAACAAUGUUAUAACGAUCAAUGUUGUAAUUAAGUUUCUGUCCGGAAAAGCAAAUGAUCAUUGAUCAAAAGUUUUGAGUUGAUCAUAAAUGCCGAAAAGGUGAUUCCACAGUGUGAGAACUUCAAAAUUCUUCUAGAAGUAUGUUAAGACAUUGUAUAUACACUAGCAUGAGAUAACAGCCUAACCACAUUUGCAUAGGUGGUGGUUGAUUGGUUCUUUUCUUUUGUUUAUGUUUGGUGUUGUUUAUCCUCAGAGAAAGUGUGCCUAGUCUUAUUGAUACUUCUUUCAGUGACUUAACCGGUUAUAUUGAAACUUACCUCCAGAUAGAGGUUCAUGGGUUGCUUUGGCUUCUGCAAAGGAGAUGAUAGUGUUACAGUUGCUGACAGAGGACCUUUCAUGCAAAGCACUCCUACUGGUAAUCCACCAUUUCCAUUCUUUUUUCCACCUUUAAAAUUUUCUAUUUUAUGAUUCUUAAUUCUUACAUUUAAUUUCAUACAAGUCAAUGACAUGAUUUGAAUCGCAAGGUUCAUGCUUUGUGUCUACAAUCUGUACAAAUUCUUAUACAACAAUUUGAUCUUGAAGUCAUUGGCAUUUCAUGCGAUUCUUAUAUCUUUUUUUGUGCCAUUCUCAAGUGAUCACCUUCUAAAUUGAGAUGUUCGGAAAAUGGCCUGUCCUAAGUCUUCUAGUUCAAGUGAUUGUAGUAGUAUUAAUUGUAUAUUUAUACUUCUGUUAGCAGUUCAUAACUCUUGUUUUCAUUUUGGCUCCACUUUCGUUUGGUCUUAAUCUGUUAAUACAAUGCAGGGAACCCCAGUUAUCAUGGAAGACACACAGCAGUAACUGCUCCUCGGACUAUAAAUUUUCAACCUAUUGCUGUCCCUUCCAUCACAGUAGAUGAAUUGAAGUCUUUGACAGAUAAUUUUGGCUCAAAAUAUUUCAUUGGUGAGGGUGCAUAUGGGAAAGUAUAUCAAGCCACAUUGAAAAAUGGGCAUGCAGUAGUAAUAAAAAAGUUAGAUUCCAGUAAUCAGCCAGAGCAGGAAUUUCUUUCUCAGGUUUGGUUCAAUUGCAGUUGUAAACUUUUAGUGAUAAGACUGUAAAAGGGAAUAUGUUUUUAUUCAGUACUUCUGAUUCCCAUCUUUUGUAGGUCUCCAUCGUAUCAAGGCUAAAGCAUGAAAACGUUGUCGAGCUUGUUAACUAUUGUGUUGAUGGUCCUUUCCGUGCCCUUGCCUACGAGUAUGCUCCUAAAGGAUCCCUUCACGAUAUUCUACAUGGUUAGUCAUAAAUUGUACUGCAUUAUCUAUCUCUCUUUUUCUGCAUGUUAUACAGAUAUGUUCAAACUUUAUUAUUAUAAUUUUGAGAUCAAUGCUGGCUGAUUUUCUAUAGAAACUUGUAACUGGUUUAGCCUGUGAUUUUGAAAACAACGUCAUCCUUGGAAAUGAAACUUAACAGCUUUUAAAUUAUACCAUCAAUCAGAUGUUUUUAAUUUUUUAUCCACAUGAUCACCCACUAAUCUUUUAAUUUUUACUGAUUGGAUGAAAACAGCAUGAAAAGAUCUUACACACCCCACUAAUUUCUUCAUUACACACCCCACUAAUUUCUUCAUUACACACCCCACUAAUUUCUUCAUUAUAUAUGCAACUUUAUUAUAAUUGUGGAUAUAGGACGCAAAGGUGUCAAGGGUGCACAACCUGGUCCAGUUCUCUCAUGGGCUCAGAGAGUUAAAAUUGCUGUUGGAGCAGCCAGGGGACUUGAAUAUCUUCAUGAAAAGGCAGAGAUUCAUAUCAUCCAUCGUUACAUUAAGUCUAGUAACAUACUUCUUUUUGAUGAUGAUGUUGCAAAGGUUGCUGAUUUUGAUUUGUCAAAUCAAGCCCCUGAUGCAGCAGCACGUCUUCAUUCUACUCGUGUUCUUGGGACCUUUGGUUAUCAUGCUCCAGAGUAAGUUAUUCCUGGAAGCCUAAUUUGACCUUCUUUUGCAGUGAAUGCUUGCUUUUUCACAUACAGAAGACCGGAUAUGAUAAAGAAUUUCUGCUUAAGUUGAAAGAUGAAAAAACUGGAAUAAGAGAAUAUGAAAAUCACAAUUGAGUAAACAUGAAACUGAUUAAUUGUAAAUUAGAAAUAUCUUUGGACAGUGAUGUACUGAACUUCAAUCCACUUUAGGGCCAAUUAUUAACUCUCUUUACACAAGUUGUGGUUUUUUUAUAAUUUAUUGGGCUUGAUUUUUUUAUGACAGAUAUGCAAUGACUGGACAACUCACUUCAAAAAGUGAUGUUUAUAGCUUUGGAGUUAUACUGCUGGAACUCUUAACGGGGCGUAAACCAGUGGAUCAUACACUGCCACGAGGACAGCAAAGCCUUGUGACUUGGGUACCAAUAUUUACUUGUUUCUGUUCCGUUAAUAUUUAUUUUUGUUUAUUCUUUCCCUUACAAUUUUUGCAUUUUGCACAUUGUGAUUUGUGUUCAUUGGAUUUUAUCAGGCAACACCAAAGCUUAGUGAAGAUAAGGUGAAGCAGUGUGUUGAUGUUAGACUAAAGGGAGAGUACCCUUCAAAAUCAGUUGCAAAGGUAAUUUAGGCUUUUAGUUCAACUCCAAAACGCUUGCUUUUGUACAUUUUGCUUGCAAACAUUUUAUUCUAUUCUUAAUAGGCUUUAAAGAAAUAUAUGCUAUAUGCUAUUUUGACAUUUUUUUUUCUUGCAAACCACACGAUUAUUUAAGAGAAACAUGUUAAUAGUUUUCAUUUCAUCGAAUUAUUUUUGUAUUUUGUAAUAGAUGGCUGCUGUUGCUGCAUUGUGUGUGCAAUAUGAAGCUGAGUUUCGACCAAAUAUGAGCAUUAUAGUGAAAGCUCUACAGCCUCUACUGAAUACUCGUUCUGUUCACUCAAAGGAAGCACCCAAGAUGUAAUAAAAACAUGUAAAUUCCAAAAUCAUUCAUUUCUUCUUUCAGACUGGAGUGCGUUGACCAAUUGUCCUUGUGACACGUGUCAGUAUUACAUAAUCUGAAGCAUAUAGUAUUAAAGUAUAUUUUGCGUUAUUAUAUUUGUAUCUCAACUAAGCAUGUUAUAGCUGAUAUAAAAAAAAUAGUGAUGGUAGGUGGCAAGAGCCUAUCAUAGAUGGUUAAGUUUAUGGUUUGAAUACUUAUUAAUUUGUAUUUGUUUGUUUGUUUUUCCUAUAAGCCGUGUACAAGUGAAUUUAUAAUAUUACUUGUCAUGUACAUCACAUGUCUAGUUGCUUUACUAUUUCAAAGAGAGGUUUCUUCUCAACGCGUAGGGAAUCUAGAAGCAUGCUUCUUUUUUUUCCUUUUUGAUGUCGUUAAGUUUUACCGUUGAAACUUGAAACUUUUUCUAAAUUUGUUCGACAGCAUCACAAUGCGAAUUUAAGAUACUUAUUAGUUUGUCUUUUAGCUCAAUUAUUUUCUUAGAAUCUAAUUCGAGAAGACACUGAUCACUUAUUUCUUACCAAGUUGUUGUCACUUUCUAAGUUUUUUAACCUCUACAAUGGUAUAUCAAAAGGUUUUGUUAUUUACGGAUGGUGCCAUGCACGAUGCAACAGAAAACAGAUCUGGUUGAAUAUAGUUUAGUAACAUAUAAUUAUUUUGUGCACCCAGCAUUUUUUCUUGUACUCUCAACAAUUUUUGUUAUUUUCAAAAUUAUUCUUAACAAAUUUAUAUAUUCAUGAUGUGUAUGGGUCCAUACAGAUUAUCAAUUUAGUAUAUGUUUUACGAAUUAAUUUAAAAUUAAUAAAAUUUAUAACCUAUAACAUUCAAGUUAAUAUGAUGUCCUAAUUAACUAAGCUAAUAAAUUAAUUAUAUUAUAAAAUAAUUAAUGUUAUUAUAUAUAACACUAAAAUUUCUAAUGUACCAAAAUUAAUUAUCACAAAAUUUAUUAUGUAAAUUUAUAUGUACAUUAAAUAUAUAUUAGAAAUUUUAGUGUUAUAUAUAGUAGUAUUAAUUAUUUUAUAACAUAAUUGACUUAUUUAUUCAAUUGAUUAGAGUGUUAUUAUUAAUUUUGAAAAAAAUAAAAAAAAUAUUGGGUGCACAAAACAAUUCCCUUAAUAACAAUACAUUUAACUUGAACCAUGCGUUUAUUGGGUUAUUUUGUUUGGCGUUUUUUUUUGUUGGUCUUAUAGUUUUCAUGGCGGAAGCUUUCUCAAGGUUAAUCGAAGAGUAUAUCACAAAUAAGAAAAAAGGGAGUAUAUCACAAGGUUAUUCAAAUUUUACGUAAUAAAAAUGUUUAAAUAAACAAUUGAAAAGUUGAGUUGGUCUUUGAUUAAAACUGACUGGUUUAACCAAUCAAAUCAAGAAUUAGGGAUCUCGCUAAUUUUAAAAUUUUGACAACGUUAUUUUAUUAUCACUCAAGUUGAUUUAAAUGAAAAAGAAAACUAUAAGGGGAGCAUUGUUUUAAGUUAUCACUUUCUGCUCAAAUAAACCAUUGUUAGAAUUUGUGUAUGAAUUCUUGUCCAUGAGUGAAAGAGAGAGUGUUAGUGACCUUAACCGACCUGUUUGUCUAAAAAUACCUUGAUGCUAUGGCGCUCUUGUUGUAACUUGUCUUUCAAUCUCCAAAGUAUUUUAAGUGAGUUUCAGAUGACACAAAUCUUGCUUUCAUUCAUUUAUUGGCAUUCUUUUGUUUGACUCCUUUUUCUUACUUUUAUUAUUUCGAAUCUUAUAAUCUCCUGUUUUGGGCUUAUAGAUCUUCCCUUCGAUAUGGAUUUGGGAACUGCUUGAAGCACCUAACAUUUUUGUCGAUACAUCCAAUAAUUUUCUAAAAUAUCGAAAAUGCCUUUAUGGAUAUUUUCGAUUAUAAAUAGCAUAUUAGUUUUUUCAUUUUUGAGCACCUUUUUUUUUUCUUCAUAAAAUCGCACUCCCUUAGUGGAACUUGCUUCCUUUAGCGUCCUUUUGUGGGUGUUUGUUGUCGCUGGUGAUGUACAUACGUUGUUUACGAAUAUACAAUGAAGUUUAGUGGUUUUUCGUCGCCGGAGAAGAAGAGAAGUAUAUUAAAAAAAUUCAAAAUAUACAUAUUUUCCAUCCAUAUGUUUUGAUUUUUUUUAUACAUUUAAUUUAUUUAUAAAAUUUGAUAUUUAAUUGAAUGUAUUUAGAUGUUUAUUACAAUAAUUAAUAGUUAAACACAUUUGAUAUUUAAUUAAAUAAUGUAUUUUGAUGUUUAUUACAGUAAUUGAAAAUUAAACAAAUAUGAUAUUUAAUUGAAUGAUGUAUUUAGAUGUUUAUUACAUAAAUUGAUAAUUAAAUAAAUUUGGUAUUUUUUUUACAUAUGUAAAUUUUUAUUAAACCUAUGAUUUUUGUUUACAAUUUAUAUGUGUAAACAAAUUAAUUAUUAGAUAAAAAUUAAUUAUCACAAAAUUUAUUAUAUAAAUUUACAUGUGCAUUAAAUAUAAUUAGAAAUUUUAGUGUUAUAUAUAACGACAUUAAUUAUUUUAUAAUAUAAUUAGUUUAUUAGCUCAAUUGAUUAGAGUAUUGUACUAAUAACCUAAAAGUCACAAAUUUGAUUUCUACUUAGAUCAUUAAUUUUAAGUUAAUUCGUAAAUUAUAUUUUUUAAAAAAAAAUAAAAAAUCCUAUAAGCCAGUUACGAUUUGUCAACCCAUAUUAAACUUACAAAAAGAUAAAAUCAGAAUUUUACAUGUUAUGCUGGAUAUACCAACAAAAAUACUAAGUACCCCUAGCAGUUUCCUAUUGAUUUUGAUACCAUUGUGGAAGAAUGGGAGAGAUAGUGUGUUGGUAAGCCUAGCUUGAAAAGUUUAUUUGCUUAAAAAUUAUUGAUACUCUAUAGUUACAACCCGAUCAUUUACCCUUUCAACCAAAAAUGGUUAAAAAUAGUUAAAUUUUAAUAAAUGUGAAUGUGACAAAAAAAAUACUAAUAUUUUUAUGUAAUGAAGUGUAUAGUAUGUUUUAAUUUUGAUAAUAAAUUAAAGAUAUGCUAAAAUUAUUUAAUAACAUGAUAAAUUAUUAUUGAAUAACAGGAUAAUUAUAUUUUUUUCAUAUUAAUAUAUGUAUAUCACACCAACUAAUUUGGUCUGAACGAAAGAGAUUCACAUCCUUUAAUUUAAAAUGUCUCGGCAGAUUAGUUUUGAAUCCAUGUUUCGAUCAACUGAAUAAUAAUAAAAAAAAGACACACGAACAUGUAAUCAUGAUUCAUGAAUCUAUGUUCUGGUAGAUAAUUCAAAUUGAAACUUCACACGUUUUCCUGCAGUUAACAACGACAGGUUGCCUACGUUGCUGCCAGCCUCAACAACAUCGACACAUUUCCGUUUUAUUCUUUAAAAUGUAUAUAAGAAGACUCUAAUUUUGUUCAUACUGUAAAGUCCAUUCCUAACCCCACCACAAUAAGUCAGUCAUGAAAGUUAGUACAUAGUUUCACCUAUUUCUAACAAAAUCCACCUACUUAUUUCAGUAGAUUCCUAACAUCAACACUUAAGUUUGAUCUUUUUUUAUGGCAAAUAAAACGAAUAAUUCUUAGGUGAGUACAAUACUUAAAGACACAUCUAACUAAUUAAAAGUUUAAAAUAACAUUAAAAUAAAUUCAACUUAAACUCAUUGACCACCGUAAAAAAAACUUUGUUGACGUUUUAUUAUUAUUUUAAGAAUUUAAUAAAUAUGUAUUAUAAGUAAUAAUAUAUUUAUCAUACAUGACAAUUGAAUGAAAAUAUAAAAGAAAAUUAUAUAGGAAUAAUGAUAUGUGAAUUAUUCUUUAUUUUAAAUAUUUCAUUAAUACUUUUUAUUUUUAUCUAUCUCUAUUUUUUCUCACAUCAUAAAGACUAUUACGUUUAUAUUGUUUUAUUUUUUUUCUUUCUCUUUCUAUCUAGAUGUUAGAUAACCUUACACGUGUUUAUCAAACAUUUUCUUUUAUAUUGUUAGUACAUGUAUUAUUUAUUAUUAUUUUAAUACAUUUACUUUUGACUUUAAAUUGAUUGUGCUAAGUUCUUUAAUUUAGGCAGAGCUAUAAUUGAACCUUAGCUUAAUCUAACCAUCAUAUAUGAUAUAUUAAUUCAUAUGUAGGUAAACAAACAAAAAACCACUAAACCAUAAAUGGUAGAAGCAAAUGGGUGAACCACUGCAUUUAAAACAGGCCAAUCUGCUUAACUUUUUUGUAGAGCCUUAUUAUUAUAUAAAUGGUAAGUUAUGCCUUUGAUUAACAUCACAUUGGUUGAAGUUGAAGACUCUUAAUUAAUUGUUGAGAUGGCUAGUGUGGUAAAGGAGCGUUCAGGGGCAGAGAUAGUGUAUGGUUCUGAAGAGUGUUAUCGCCACUCCAUAGAGCUCUUAGAAGAGUUGGGUUUCCCAAAGGGUGUUCUUCCCUUGCAAGACCUGGUGGAGUGUGGUAGGGUUAGAGAAACUGGGUUUGUGUGGAUGAAGCAGAAGGCACCUUAUGAGCAUUUCUUUGAGGGAACCAACACGAGGGUGAGCUAUGCUGUUGAGGUCACUGGCUAUGUGGAGAAGUUUAGGAUGAAGAAAAUGAGUGGCAUUAAGAGCAAGCAGAUGAUGCUGUGGGUGCCAAUAACUGAGAUGAGCAUUGAAGAUCCUAAGGGGCAGAAGAUACUCUUUAAGACCCCUAUGGGGAUUGGAAAGUCCUUCCCUAUCCUGGCUUUCAUGACCCCAGAGGAAAAGGAAAAGCACCUGCUGUUGCAGUAUAAGGAGAUUCAAGAAAACAGUUAGCUUUCCACGUAUACCAUGAAUUCAUAUUAUGAUACUGUUGAGGUCCUCAUCAUGAAUAAUGACCAACUAGAGUAUUUAAGAAAGUUUUAUUAUACUAGUUUAAUUUUUAUGUACUCUCACAAUUGACAAUUUUAUGCUAUAAAUUAAUCAGAAGUUAUUAUUAGUAUAAAUUUUAAGAUAUUUAUUGUAAAAAUCAACAUGCUGUACAUGACAAAUUGUUAUCAAAUGAGAAGUGUAAAAAUCCUUUGGUACUAUUUACUCUUACUAUACAUAAAAUAGUUAAUUUCAUGGUUAUGAUUCAUGCGGCGUGCAAUUGAACACUUUUGUUCUUUUGGUUGAUUGGUAGAAUGCAUGUUUACUAUUUUCAUGAUUGUUAUAUUUGUUUCAGAAGAAUCGAAUGAUACGUUACGAAAUGAACAUGUUAUUAAAUACUAGUGUUGCAUGCAGAAUGGGAACAAUUGAGAAGGUUGUUGUUGGGUCUUUUACGGUUGACUUGCAUAUUUAAGACGAUAUUCGCAACAAAAUUAUUUUCUAUCCAUGACAAGGUAUCUAGCUGCUACGUCUGCAUAUAUACACGAGGGAAAAAUCCUAUUAAUUAACUCAAAACAGAGAGACUGCACCUUGCCAAGUUUAGUUGUUUAUGUAAAUCAAAAUUUGGCAAUGAUGCUUAUUUAAUUAUAGAAAUUUGAAAAGUUAUUAAUUAGGCCAUCUUGUUUGCUUGUUGAGAGGACUAGAUGGUGAAAGCUUUUCACUGAGAUGAUAGCAGCGGGCAUUCAGCUAAAGUCUGAUACUGAAAUUUUAAAAUUCAAAAUUAAUUUAGCCUUAUUCACCCAUGUUUUGAACUUUAUGUGAAAUGAUUUAGGUUUAAGUCUCCGGUCAUCAUCAUCUCACCUACUGAAUGUUUAGGAGUCAUAAUUAAUUUUAAUAAGUUUCACCUCAUUAAAAACUAGUUUUACCUAAUUCACCCAUAUUAAAAUGAUUUAGGUUCAAGUGUCAUCGUCACAUGUGCUGAAGGACAAGGUCUCCAACAAGUCUCCGGUUCCAUCCCAUUUUGAGAUUCAUUUUAGCAUGACUCGUAUAUCAUUAAUUUUUUUAGAUUUAAAAACUUUAUUGGGUCUAAAAAACUAAUCCAGUCAAAUUUAUAAUUAAUUGAAAAAUAUAACUUUUAGUUCUAAGUUGUACACACUAACACGAGGUUGCUGCAAUUAUUGAACCUCAGAAUCAAAGCUGAAAAUACGCAUGAAAGCUUGAAUUGCUAUUACCAAAACCAACAAUUCUCAAGUUCAAUCCCAAAUGCAAAAAAAUUUGGGUCCUAAACUUUCAUUUCCCUUGUCUUUUAUAUUAUUUUUUUUAUCCUAAAAGUUAAAAACCACGGGUGUCAUGCAUAACGUAGACUUAAGAGAAUUUUAUACAUGAUGAAAA
rnacentral:lncRNA from 1 species